rnacentral:lncRNA from 1 species
GAUGAGUAUGAGUUUUUACCCCUUCACUCUUAAUUAAAAGUUUCCGGAUUCAAGUAUCGAGAAUAGAAAAAAAAAAAAAAGUAAUUCCCCAUGAGACCUUACACAACACAAAUUCGAAUUAGUCAGAUCUCUGGACGGGGUGAAAAUAAAAAAAUAAUAGCUAGAUAUGAAAAGUAGAUUGGUGACAUGGCAAGAACAGUUCCUUUGGUCAAGGAUGUCGAAAUCUAGCCUUAGCUAACCAGAAACAGCCAAAUAGUUCUUUCUAGAUUCCCAUGGUGAAUCUUGCUAGCUAAGUACUAUACUAGUACAAUAAUACAACCCAACAACGUUUAUUUUAUUUUAUAUAAUUGUGAUGUUCGGGUCAACUUGCACACACCUCAAUUAUAAGGAAAACACAAGUUUCUCUUCUUUAUUUUGAUCUUCUUUGAAAUCUACUACUCAGAGAUAUACUUUUAUUGGACUUAACUUACAUACACCGGCAAGGUAAACUUUUAUAUAAUGUUAAUGUAAUUUAACUGUAUUUUCCAGAUUAGUCACUUCAGUUAGUAUGGAUAAUUACCGGUAGUUACCUUUUAAGAGCCCUAAUAAUGCAAAAAAUUCUCGUUAAAAAUACCAAUAGUGUGAAUAAAUUACGUCUAUCAGUAUAAGUUUAUCUACUAUAAUAUAUCAUUUUUCCAUAUUUUGUAUAUUAAACUAAAAUAUUUUCUUUCAUAAUUGUUAUUGUAUAGAAGUUUUACUCUAAAAUAUUGAUUCUUCCAUUCUUCGUAAAUACAGCACUUGACCUAUUGAAGAAUGUUGAAGUUGAAGCCAUAAUAGGGCCAACAUCAUCAAUGCAAGCUGAUUUCAUAAUUGGUUUAGGAGAGAAAGCUCAAGUACCCAUCAUCUCAUUUUCAGCUACAAGCCCUUCUCUCUCAUCAUUUCUCCCAUCAUCAAUGCAAGCUGAUUUCAUAAUUGGUUUAGGAGAGAAAGCUCAAGUACCCAUCAUCUCAUUUUCAGCUACAAGUCCUUCCCUCUCAUCAUUUCGUAGUUCAUACUUCAUUCGUGCCACUCAAAAUGAUUCCUCUCAAGUAAAAACCAUUAGUUCCAUUAUUCAAUCUUUUGGAUGGAGAGAAGUCGUCCCUAUAUACGUCGAUAAUCAAUUUGGAGAAGGAAUUAUACCAUUCUUGGCAGAUGCAUUAGAAAAAAUUAAUGCACGUAUCCCUUAUCGAAGUGUUAUUCCUGAAUUCGCUACCGAUGAUCAUAUAAAAUAUGAACUUUCCAAGUUAAUGAGUAUGCAAACUCGGGUUUUUGUUGUGCAUAUGACAACUUCACUUGGUACCAAACUUUUUACUAAGGCCAAAGAACUUGGAAUGAUGAGUGAAGGGUAUGUUUGGAUUAUUACAGAUGCUAUGGCAAAUGGACUCACUUCUGCGGAUUCUUCGGCCAUUGAAGCCAUGCAAGGAGUUAUUGGAGUAAAACCUUACGUUCCAAGAACUAAACAGCUUGAGAAUUUCACUACUAGAUGGAAACUGAAGUUUCAACAAGAAAAUCCAAUAAUUAUUAAUGCAGACCUGAACGUAUUUGGACUAUGGGCUUAUGAUUCAACAACUGCACUAGCUAUGGCAGUGGAGAGAUCAAGAAUCACUGGAGCACCUUUUCGGAAACCAAAUGUUCAAUUCUUAAUGCAGAAUUGAAUGUGUUUGGACUAUGGGCUUAUGAUUCAGCUACCGCACUUGCCAUGGCAGUGGAGAAAUCAAGAAUCGCUGGAGCACCUUUUCAGAAACCAAACAUUUCAGGUACAAAUAGAAAAUGGACGGGCUGGCUCAAAUUGGACGGUCAAAUCAAUAUAAUGGAUCAAGGUUUUCUUGGGUUAAAAUGAGUUAGAAUCAAGAUCGGUCAGAUAACAGAUCAUAUAAUUCAACCUGUCCAAUAUUGUCCAACCUCCCGUUCUUUUUCAUUUUGCUGUUUGAAGAAAAUGUGAAAGUAAAAAGUAUUUUUCUUAAAUUAUUAGCUUAAGUUCUUCAUAUUUUACAUAGUUCUGAAUCUUCAAAAAUUAUUUGUAUCUUUAGGUUAGGUUACUCUAUUUAACCUGUUUUGACAAAAUAGUUUGAUGGGCCAUUUUGGGUUUAUUGGUUCAAACAGUUCGAUCAAGCCAACAAAUGGGUCAUAAUCCAAUCUGUUUAAACUUGGACGGAUUGGGCAGGUUAAAAAAAUGAAUUGAUUUUGCCACCUCUAAAAUUUUCAGGAAAUGCAACAGAUCUUGAAGCUUUUGGAGUUUCUAAGGAUGGUCCAAAGCUUCUUCAGGCUAUACUAAACACUACAUUCAAAGGCCUUAGUGGAGACUUUCAAAUUGUUGAUGGGCAAUUGCAGUCACCAGCUUAUCAGAUAAUUAAUGUGUUUGGUAAUGGUGCAAAAGGAAUUGGUUUUUGGACAAGAGAAAAUGGGAUAAUUAAAGAACUGAGUUUGAGAAGCAAAAACAAUGUAUAUUCAAUUUCUAAGGCUAAUCUUGGGUCUAUUAUAUGGCCUGGUGACACUACUUCUGUUCCUAAAGGUUGGGUGAUUCCAACAAAUGGGAAGAAAUUGAGGAUUGGAGUUCCAGUGAAGGAUGGUUUCAGUGAGUUUGUGAAAGUUACAAGAGAUCUUACUACUAACACAACAAUAGUAACGGGUUACUGCAUUGAUGUUUUUGAUGCAGUAAUGGCAGCAUUACCAUAUUAUGUUCCUUAUGAAUAUGUUCCAUUUGCAGCUCCGGGAAAGUUUACUGAAAGUUAUGAUGAUCUUAUUUAUCAAGUAUUUCUUGGGGUAAAUCUCUUAGUUUCCCUCUUUCUCUUUAUUACAUUUUCAUCUUCAAAACUCACUCAGAAAGGGCACUGCAAGAGAUAUCAUACAAAAAUGAUUGAAUCUUCAGACGCCCCGAAAAAGAUAGAAGUUCUUGGAAAGACAAGGACUUGAUUUCUAUCAAUGUGAAAUCCAUUAUAUUUCUCUAAUGUCCAUGUCGUCCGAGAGGAGUUGCUCUGAUGGUAAGCAACCCCCACUUCCAACCGAGAGGUUGUGAGUUCGAGUCUNNNNNNNNNNNNNNNNNNNNNNNNNNNNNNNNNNNNNNNNNNNNNNNNNNNNNNNNNNNNNNNNNNNNNNNNNNNNNNNNNNNNNNNNNNNNNNNNNNNNNNNNNNNNNNNNNNNNNNNNNNNNNNNNNNNNNNNNNNNNNNNNNNNNNNNNNNNNNNNNNNNUGUCUCUCUACCCCAGGGUAGGGGUAAGGUCUGCGUACAUACUACCCUCCCCAAACCCCACUAAGUGAAAUUAUACUAGGUUGUUGUUGUUGUUGCAUGUCGUCCCAUCAGCCUAUUCUACUUUAGAGUGAGCUAGAGAAAAAAGUGGGGCUGCUUCCUCAUUUUUAAGGUUUCAUUUGUUACUCCACUAAAGAGUUUCAUUUAUAUCUUUUAUGUUAAGAUAUAUACAAUUCUUGCAUAUAUAUACUUCUAUUUGAUUCUAAAUAUUGUUGCUAGUAUUAACCAAUGAGCAGACCUUUGAUGCUGUUGCAGGGGACACUACCAUUGUCUCGAAUAGAUCGGAAUAUGUUGAUUUCACAUUACCAUACACAGAAUCUGGUGUCACAAUGAUGGUGCCAAUCAAAGAUGAUAACAGCGAUAGUGCAUGGGUAUUCUUGAAGCCAUUGACUCGGGAGUUGUGGUUAACAAGCUUCUGUUCUUUUGUUUUCAUUGGUUUUGUCAUUUGGCUACUUGAACAUCGAGUUAAUGAAGACUUUAGAGGACCUCCUUCUCACCAAGUUGGCAUGAUCUUUUGGUUUGCCUUCUCAACUAUGGUCUUUGCACAAAGUAAUUAUAUAUUCCUCUUUUCUUUUUAGUUUGUUCCUUAGUCUGUUUCAAUGCUAAUGGUACCUUUCUAUAUUUGAAUUUCUCUAGCUUCAACUUCUCAUUUUACCUUUAGUGACAUGAUCUUUCAAUCGUGUAGAUGUCAUGGUAUGUUUAAAUCUUUAAGACCACAAGUUGACACUUCUGAUAUAUGCCAAAAGUCUUUCUUUAAAACUUAACCUUCGUAUCCAGUCAAAUACUAUAGUUUAAAUGAAAUAGAGGAAUAUAUACAAAUUGGGAAUAUUGAAGAGUAUGUAACUACUCUCCCUAUACAUAUAUAGAGCACACACUUCAAUAUGAUUCAAACUUCUAAUCUGAAUUUUCUCCUUUUUGAUUCUUGAAAUGGCAGAGGAGAAGAUAGUAAGCAACUUGGCUAGGUUUGUGUUAGUUAUCUGGUUCUUAGUAGUACUAAUAUUGACGUCAAGCUACACUGCAAGUCUUACAUCAAUGUUAACAGUUGAAAAACUCCAGCCAACUGUUAGAGAUAUCAAAGAACUUCAGAAGAAUAAGGAGUAUGUGGGCUACCUACAGGGUUCUUUUGUACCGGGACUUCUAAGGAAAAUGAACUUUGACGAGGACAGGCUUAGAGAAUACAGCAAUCCAGAGGAAUGUGUUGACUUACUCUCUAAAGGUAGUGCGAAUGGUGGUGUUGCUGCUGUUUUUGAUGAGAUGCCUUAUGUGAAGCUUGUCCUUGCAAAUUAUUGCUCGAAAUUUACCACCAUUGGACCUACAUAUAAGGCUGAUGGAUUUGGCUUUGUAAGUAACUCCUCUUUUUCUCGAUAUCUUUUUGUUGUUUAGUGCAAGAAUCACAGGCAGAGGCAACCUAAGUAACAUUAUGAUUUCAUCAUUUUUGUGAUUUACAUCUAGGUCUUCCCAAUGGGAUCUCCACUAGUACCUGAUGUUUCAAGAGCAGUUUUAAGUGUGACAGAAAGUGAAAAGAUGGUACAAAUAGAGAAAGCGUGGUUUGGGGAAUCUACUUGUUCAGAUUCUAGCACUUCACUUUCCUCCAAUAGUCUUGGCCUAGCUAGCUUCUGGGGACUCUUUGUCAUAGCUGCGGUUGCUGCAAUUUUGACUCUCCUCAUCUUUCUGACAAAAUUCAUGCAUGAGUAUUGGCACAUCAUAAAACGAACUAAUCUUUCGUUCCGUGAAAGAGUCAGAAUCUUGGCUAGAAAGUUCGACAGAAAAGACUAUAGCUGUCAUACUUUCAAGAAGAGUGAACUAAGAGAUGCAAUGAGAGAUUCAGCACGUAUGGAUUGUUCACAAAGUCCACAUGAUAACUUGUCAAUGCUAUCUUCCCCACGAACGAAUGGACCGCCAAGUCCAAGCAUUUCUAGUUACACAGAGCAGAGUUUUCAUUUUCCAGGAGAGGUAGGAACUCCUCCUUUACAUGAAGAGAAUGUAGCAGUUAGUACUCAGGAGAGCGUCAUUGAGUUGGCUGUUGAUCUAAGUGCGGGACAUUGAUGUUUUCUCUUUUCUAGCUUUUGAUUUGUAUAUUGGUGUAGAAAUGGAUUAUGAUGGUUUUAGUAUUCGUAAGCCUCUAACAUCAUCUUACAUAGUAUUAAAUUCAUUUUUACUUCCUCCACUGUCCAAAAGAACAAAUCAGAUAAUAUUAGAUCGAUUUGAGAACAAAUCAGAUAAUAUUAGAUCGAUUUGAUCAAAGAGAAUAACCAAUGACUCUGAUCUUGGAACUGCAAUGGACAUGUUUUCCAUUAACUUCAAUAUGUCUAAGUUUUAGUUCAAUUACACACUCUCCUUCUACUACAACUACAGGUUCAACGCCUAAGCCAUAUACAGAAUCUAAUACUUUCCAACAGUAUUUCGUCAUUUAUAGCAUUAUCGUCUAUGAAGUGUCUCAGGCUACUAUGAUAGAACGUAAUUCGCAACAGGUCACAAAUAAGAACGAGUAAUUCACAUAAAAUCUCAUGUACAAGUAGUCAAUUACACAUAGUACUCAACAAAUACUAGAAAUAGAGAGGGUUCCCACUCACCUCAAGCUACAACUAUGGCACCCGAGCCUCAAACACGAUCUCCCAUGUCAUCCUGUAGAAUUUUGUUAAUCUAACAAUAACACAAGAUAAUCCAUCAAUUCGAGUCAUAGGGUACAAGUAUAAACCAAAAAAACCCAGAAUCAACCACACUUAUGCCUUAGGUUUUGAGCUCCUUCUAAAUCCUCCAGUACUAACUCAUCAUCACUCAAACAACUAAAAUACACCAAUUGAAGUGAUUCCACAAUUAAAACUCAUUUAUAAUGUUAAUCAACUCUAUUACUAGAAAUUAUAAGGCCCACCGAUUCACAACCCUAAUGCCAAUUUCUCUAUUUAAUUAUCCAAAUUCUAACUUUUAUUUGAAAAAAGAAAUACUUUUUUUGGGGUAUAUAAAUGACAAGCAAGCAACGAAGAGAGAAGGGAAAACUAAAGAAAAUGGAAAGCUUACUUACGGGUGCGUCAAUGGCGAGGAAAGCGUAUGGCAGAAGGCAAAUUUUGUUUGCCUGUGUAUGAAUUUCGUCGGCAACUCUUAACCCCUCUACCCUUUCUUUAGCUUUUCAUUUUUGUUUGAAAUUUCCUUCCCGUGGCCCCUUUCGCGCAAUAACCUUUAUUUUGCAUAAACAGCCCCUCUAUUCGAAGAAUUAACCCAAAUAGCUACCCAUCCAAGCGGGGGUAGAAGUGAGGUUUGACUCUCAAAUCAUCCCUAAGCGGAGUAGUUUCAAGUACCUUGGGUCAGUUAUUCAGGGAAUCGGGGAGAUCGACGAGGAUGUCACACACCAUAUAGGGGUAGGGUGGAUAGAGUAGAGGUUAGCGACGGGAGUCCUGUGUGACAAGCAAGUUCCAGUGCUACUGAAAGGUAAGUUUUAUAAAGAUGUGGUUAGGCAUGCAAUGUUGUAUGGGACUGAGUGUUGCCUGAACUCACACACCUAAAAGAUAAAAAUAGCAGAGAUAAUGAUGUUGCGAUGGGUGUGCGGGCAUACAAGGAUGGAUAAGAUUAGGAAUGAAAAUAUUAGAAAGAAGGUGGGCGUGGACCCCAUAGAGGACAAGAUGUGUGAAGCAAGACUCAGAUGGUUCGGGCACAUUUAGAGGAGGAGCAAUAAUGCACCGGUGAGAAGUUGUGAGCGACUGGCUGUGGUGGGCACGAGGAAAGGCAAAAGGAGACCUAAGAAGUAUUGGGGAGAGGUGAUAAGGCAGGACAUAGAGCGUCUUAUGAUUACUGAGGACAUGGCCCUUGAUAGGGGAUUGUGGAGGUUGAGCAUUAAAGUUGUGGGUUAGGGAGAAGUUGUGAAUAUUUCUACAGCGCACUAGAGUGAGACUAGCCAGCUAUGAAUUAAUCUUAGGAUGCUUUGAUCAGCUACCGAUGCCGGAAUUUAUCUGUUGGAUAUUACUAUACCUUUCAUCUAUUUUAUAUGUUCCUCUAUUUAUUAUAUUGCUUCUAUUUGGUUAUUUUAUGUUACAUUAUGUAUUUUAUGUUAUUUUUAGUAUGAGUCUAUUGAUGGUACUAUAUAUCGUCUCUUGUUAUUGUCUUGAGCCGAGGGUCUCCUGGAAACAGCCUCCCUGCCCCACGAGGUAGGGGUAAGGUCUGCGUGCAUAUUACCCUCCCUAGACCCCACUCGUGGGAUUGCGCCCUAUGGUCUGCUACCGUGAUGCUUCGCCGAGCCUCCCUACCGAUGUAUCGAUCCCGCACAUUUAGACCAGUCCUAGCGGACAUGACAAAACUUCCCUUGAAGAAAGCCAGCCUGAGGAAAUUGGAUUGGUCAUUCCACCAUCAUUCGAUUAUAGAGGGUUGGAGCCCUCUCUCUAAAAGCCCUCUUGAUGCAAUGUAAUGUGUUGUUGUUGAGCUACCCAUCCAAUUGAUUAAACUAAAAAUAACUAUCAAUAUAUAUAAUAUAUGUAUAAUAUGCGGCAUAAUCAUAUAUAAUUAAUAUAUAACCUAUAUAUACCAACUAAGAAAAAUAAAUAACAAAUUCGACCAGCUACAUAUAGAUCCCUUAUUAUUCCCAUAGUUUCUAGAUGUGCUUUAGCACGUGAAAAUUUGGGCAUUAUUCAGCUUUAACCUGCGUCAGAAACUAUUUACAUUCGAUAGUCUAAAAAGUAUAUAAAAUUUGUAUAAUUUGUGCAUAUAACAUGUAUAUAUACAUAUAUAUAUAUAUAUAUAUAUAUAUAUAUAUAUAUAUAUAUAUACAAUUCGACUAUUAUUUUGAGAGAAGCUAUACAAUAUUAUUUUACUUAAAAUUUCACUCGGUAGAAUAUUUGGACUCUUUUAUUUAAUUUAUACCUAAUAUUUUAAAUAGUAUACACAAGUACGUUAAAAUCGCUAAAGAAGAUAUUUCCCCUUUUACCUAAAAAUGUUUUGCUAUUUUGUGCUGCCAACGGUGCACCAACUUCAUGUUGAAGUUUCACUAUAACCCUGUUAUUCUGUAAAGGGGAUAGUUGUGAUAUUCAAGUAAGCUCCAAAUUUACAACAGAUAGUUCUCAACCUUGGCAAAAACAAGGAAACCAAAGCAAAAAAAAAGGAGAGGGAAGUUCCAGAUUGCUAUUGAAAUAGCAAAUAAAAGAAAAAUAAGAGGUUCAUUCCUCUUCUUCUAAGCGAGCCUUCUGUCUAUUUAUGCCUUUUGCGUAACUUGACUGGUGUCGUUUUCUCUAACGACUUGGUAGAUGGUAUUGUUGAUACUUAAUUUUUUUUUAUGUAUUUUUUAGAGCUAUUAAUAUGGGCUUGGCUCGUUAGGCCAGCCCAUCCCAACCCAUAAUUUAGCAGCCUAAUAAAAUAUUUAAUUAAAAUAUAUAUAAAAAAUAAAAAGUAUACUUCCUUUAGAGAUGGAAAGUCAGAAUUGGAUCUUUACUAAGAGGAACCAAAACGUGAUCUUAAGAAGUUUCAAGAGAUAGAUGUUGUCAUGUAUUGGAAGGACCAUUAUAGAAAAUAUCUUGAUCUUUCAAUGAUGGUGCGUGAUGUACUUGGUAUUCUUGUUACCAGUGUAGCAUCAGAAUCAACAUUUAGCAUUGGUGGCGUGUACUUAGUACAGAAAUUGUAUUCAUUAUGAAAAUGUCCAAACACUUGUUACUACUCGAAAUUUGUUCCACAUGUUUUUCCAAACUCAAACUAGUUAUUUUUAAUAUUUAAUUAAUUAAUAUUGCAUAUGAAUUGUAGAUGAAAGUGAAUAAGUGAAUAAGACAACGAUGUCACUAGUGGAUUCAAAUGUGUGAUGAAGAUAAUGUGUCAGAUAUGUCAUAAGCAUCAUGAAUGUUCGCUUGAAUAAUUUGUUUUAAGUUUUGACUUUUAGUAGAUGAAAUAUAGUCUUGUCUUUUUCGUUUUUAAUAUUUAUUCUGAUAUAUUGGAACAGUAUAAAAGGUUAUUAAGUUUUUCUAAUUUUUUCCAACAAGAUAUUUUUGAUCUUUUAAAUAAUUAUCUUUUUAGGUUAGAACUUAAAGAAAAAAUAUAAAAUUAUAUUUUUAAAAAUGAUGGGCAGUCCCGUGGGGGCCCGCAUCCCACGUAGGGCUGGGGUGGGCUGACCAUUAUAAGGCCCAUCAAAAUUGUGGGCUAGCCCAGCCCAGCCCGUCAAUUGCUAAAGCCCACGUGAAGUGGGCUGGGCUAGCCCGGUCCGGACCAUAUUGAUAGCUCUAGUAUUUUUAUAUGCAAAAUACUUUCAAAAUAACAUGUACAUGCAUAUAUAAGCAUGUCCAAGAGUUUUGAUAUUUUUCCUAUUUUUUAAAAAAAUUAAAAUCAAUUUAUUAUCCAUUUUAGUAGUACAAAAAUCAGUAAUUAUUCCUAAAAAUCAUCCUUUUUCUGAACAAUUUAUUUUAUUCUCAUAUUUACACCAAAAUAUAAUUAAGGUGACUUGGUAUAUUUUUUACAAAUUUACUUGGCAUUUUAAAACUAAAUUUGCAUGUAAUUGCAAUUAUACCCUAUUUUAUGAUUAAUAGCAUUUUAUAAUUUUAAAUUUAUUUCCAGUAUUUUUAAGCUAUUACUUAUAUAGUUUUGUUAGCCCAAUAUUUUUAAUUUACUUUUAAAGUUACUAUUGCUAUAUUUAUAAAAUAAAAAGGUAAAAGUGGCCAUUUAAUUUCUUGCCCUAACUAUUUCAAUUUUAGCCUAAAUCAGUCCCUAAUUAACCCUCAAUUUCAAUUUCAAAUGGACUGGCCCAAUUUCUAAAAUACCCGCCCCUGAUCCAAUUAAGACAACCCGCCCGGCUCCCCAUUAAAUCCAGGUUGUUGAUCAAAAUGAUCAACGACCACGAUUAUCCAUUACUCUUUUAAACCACCAACACCCCUUAACCCUAAAUCAUUUUCCACCCAACCAGAUGCCUCCGAAACCCUCCCCUCUCUCAAGAACUCUCGAACCUUCUCUAAAGCUAGCCGCCUCUCACCAUCUUCCACCGGGAAACCCACCGUAUUCUAUGGCUUCUCAGGCCGCAUGAGUCUUAUACUCACCUCCUAUUACCCCUCAUAUGCAUGAUAUUUGAAGGUUCAAGGUCAGACCUCGAAGGCCUUCACCUAGACCUUCGUCGAUUCAAGGUUCCGGUCGUUCCGGGCCCUACUCCGGCAUAUCCUAGCUCCUGAGUCUGAUUCCAACCUUAUCUGACUUAUAUCGGACCUUUUCCAAGCCUUUAUCAUUUUAGGGUUCUUUUGAAACCCUAACUAGUCGAGGUUUUCACCGAUUCCUCUUAGAUCUGUUGUAUAUCUAUACUUUAUUUGAGUUUUCAAACAAUUUCCUCAAACUUUCUUAUUAAAAUUACUUUUAAAAUUGCUUCUUUUUCAAAUUAGGGUUUUCUGAAAUGCUAAAAGUGUUUCUCUGACUUUUCUUUUCCUUUGUGUGUAUUUGUCUCUGCUAUAUUCUUAUGUUUAAUUUUAUAUCAUACAUGUUCUUAUACUGUGUUUCCAAUAUUCCGUUCUUUCUUCUGCUGUGUUUUCUAUGAUAUGAUCUCAUAUGCUUUCUCACUAUGUUCGGCUAUUUGUCUUCCACUAUGAUUUGAUAUGCUUCGCCAACUGUAUCCUUCUAUCAUGUUCUUAAGUGUUGUUGUUUCACUCCUACUUUACUUUGUUUUAAGUUUCUUCUAAAUGAUCCGUUUAAGCAUGUUUUCCUCUACUGUUUCUUCUACUCUCAUUAUGAUUUGAAUUAGUUUCUUCACUCUAUUUACUCUAGACUUUAAGUUGUAUUUGCUUGCUUCCUCAUGAGAUUCUGAAAAGAAAUCUCUGAGCCUGUUGCAUCCUCAUCUCUGUCUUCGACUCGAGGAGGAAAUCCUAGAACUUUGGGGGUUUUCCUCCGAGUUUGACCAUAUGAUCAGACUAGGGUUCUAUUUGAGUAUUCUAGACUCUUUCGACUUAUUUCUGAGUCUAUUUACUAAAUGUGAAUUUCUUUUGCACACAAUUCUGAUUCUCCUACACUAGACUAUUUUAUUGAAUAAAAUGACAAAUUUCUUCGUGUUUAAGCAUGCUUGUAUGCUUUUAUAUGUGUGUUGAAUCUUUUUUCGAAAGGUUUUCAAACUUAUGAUUGCGUAAGGCUACCUUUCUGCCUUAAUAGGUUAAGCUCUACAUCCAUUUGCAUUUUUCUGCAUUGCAUAAGGCUACCUUUUUCCCUUCCGAGACUAAACAUUGUCUCCAUCUGCAUUUUCUACAUUGCAUAAGGCUACUUUUAUGCCUUCCGAGACUAAGCAUUGUCUCCAUCUGAUUCUUUGGCAUUGCAUAAGGCUACCCUUCUGCCUUCUUAGGUUAAUCUCUACCUCCAUAAUUGCAUUGGCUGAAAUAUUGCCAUUAUAUUUACACUUUACGGCAGCUGAAACAUCGCCAUUUUAUUUAAAUCUUUGCAUCAGCUGAAAUAUCGCCAUUUUAUUUAAAUCUUUGCAACGGCUGAAAUAUUGCCACUUCAUUUAAAUCUCACAUCGGCUGAAAUAUCGCCAUUAUAUUUACACUUUACAUCGGCUGAAAUAUCGCCACUUUACUUAAACCACGCAUCGGCUGAAAUAUCGCCAUAUUAUUUAAGGCUUGCAUCAGCUAAAACAUCACCACCUUUUGCAUCUCAUGGGUUGAAAGAUCGCCAAAUUGUCCAAAUGAGGCAUUGUUCGGAGGCACCAUUUGCAUAGCCCGAUAACCCAUGUAAAAGCCUGAGUACCCCAUUUUACUUUUUUGCAUGUCAUUAUUCAAAGGAAUCAUAGUUCAGAGGCAUCAUUCUCAUAGCCCAAAAAUAUCAUUUCAUAGCAUGCGAAUCCUUCAUUAUACGCUUCAUGUCCUAGGACAUCAUGGUCCGAAGCCGUCAUCCUAACCGUCCAAAGACAACAUUUAUGGUCUAAUGGGAACUUGCAUCACGAUUAAAUUUACGCACCAUAUAUGCUUGUAUUACUCACUUGCAGGUACACCGGCUAGCAACGACUUUCUCAGUAUGAGCUAUCUCACUCCAGUUCCCACAGCCUAUCAGACUUCGACCAUCAUCUCAAUUUGAACAUCGUGCCCGUAUUUCGAGAUCUCCCUAGGCAAUAGUCCACCAAUGGAUCCUGAACUACAUAUGACCUGAUUCCUUUAACCGACAACUCUUUCAUCAUUCCUGGGUAAAGAGGGGCAACUGUUGAUACCCAAUUUUUUAAUGUAUUUUUAUAUGAAAAAUAUUUUCAAAAUAUCAUGUACAUGAAUAUAUAAGCAUGCCCAAGAGUUUUGGUAUUUUUUCUAAUUUUUAAAGAUUUUAAAAUCAAUUUAUUGUCCAUUUUAGUAGUACAAAAAUCUGUAAUUAUUCCCAAAAAAUAUUCUUUUUGUGAAUAAUUUACUUUAUUAUCAUAUUUACAUCAAAAUAUAAUUAAGGUGAUUUUUUACAUUUUUUUACACAUUUAUUUGGUUUUUUAAAGCUAAAAUUGCAUGUAAUUGCAAUUACAACCUAUUUUAUGAUUAAUAGCAUUUUAUAAUUUUAAAAUUAUUUCCAGUAUUUUUAAUCUAUUAUUUAUAUAGUAUUUUUUGGCCCAAUAUUUUUAAUUUACUUUUAAAAUUACUAUUGUUAUUUCUAUAAAAGAAAAAGAAGCAAAGUGGCCAUUUAAUUUCUAGCCCCAACUAUUUCAAUUUUGGCCUAAAUCAGCCCCUAAUUAACCCCCAAUUUCAAUUUUACGUGGACCAGCCCAAUUCCUAAAAUACCCGCCCAUGAUCCAAUUAAGCCAACCCGCACAACUCCUUAUUAAAUUCAGGUCGUUGAUCAAAAUUAUCAACGGCCACGAUUCCUCCCUUUCUUUUUUAAUCCACCAACACCCGUUAAACCUAAAUAAUUUCCCACCCAACCUGCCGCCUAUGAAACCCUCCCCUCUUUCAAACACUCUCGAACCUUGUCUGAACCUAGCCACCUCUCACCAUCUUCCACCGGGAAACCCAACGAAAUCUAUGGCUUCUCAGGACAUGGGAGUCUUAUCCUCACCUCCUAUUACCUUUAUUUGCCUGGUAUUUGAAGAUUCAAGGUCAGACCUCGAAGUCCUUCACCUAAACCUUCGCUGAUAGAAGGUUUCUGGCGGUCCCUGGCCUUGCUCUGGCAUAUCCUAGCCUCCUGAGUAUUAUUCCAACCUUAUCCAACUUAGAUCGGACCUUUUCCAAGCCUUUCUCAUUUUAGGCUUCUUCUAAAACCUUAACUAGUCGAGGUUUUCUCCGAUUCCUCUUAGAUUUGUUGUAUAUCUAUGCUCUGUUUGAGUUUUCAAACGAUUUCCUCAAACUUUCUUUUUAAAAUUACUUUAAAAAUCCCUUCUUCUUCAAAUUAGGAUUUUCUGAAGUGCUUAAUAUGCUUCUCUCACUUUUCUUUUUCAUUGCAUGUAUUUAUCUCCGCUUUAUUCUUAUGUUUCCUUUUCUGCCAUCAUGUUCUUCUACCGUGUUUUUUAUAUUCCGUUCUUUCUUCUACUGUGUUUUCUACGCUAUGAUCUCACAUGCUUUCUCACUAUGUUCGGCUAUUUGUCUUCCACUAUGAUUUGAUAUGCUUUGCCUAUUGUAUCCUUAUACCAUGUUCUUAAUUGUUGCUGUUUUACUCCUACUUUACCUUGUUUUAAGUUUCUUCUAAAGGAGCCGUUUAAGCAUGUUUUCCUCUAUUGAUUCAAGUUUAUUCUAAAGGAACAGUUUAAGCAUGCUUUCCUCUAUUUUUUCUUCUACUCUUAUUAUGCUUCCUAUUAGUUUCUUCACCCUAUUUGCUCUGAACUUUAAACUGUAUUUGCUUGUUUCUUCAUGAGAUUCUGGAAAGAAAUUUCUGAGCCUGUUGCAUCCUCAUCUCUGUAUUCGACUCGAGGAGGAACGCUAGAAUUUUGGGGGUUUCCUUGCGAGUUUGGCCAUAUGAUCAGCCUAGGGUUCUGUUUGAGGAUCCCAGACUCUUUUAGACUUAUUUCUGAGUCUAUUUAUUAAAUGUGAAUUUCUCUUGUUUGCACACAAUUCUGAUUCUCCUACACUAGACUCUUUUAUUGAAUAUCAUGACAAAUGUCCUUGUGUUUAAGCAUGCUUGUAUGCUUUUAUAUGUGUGUUGAAUAUUUCUUCAAAAUGUUUUCAAACUUAUGAUUGAAUCAAAACCUUUUUUUAGGUUUAAUUGAUUGUUACCGAUUUUCCUUAAGUAAAACCUUUUCUUCACCUUUUUGACUGAGUUCAUUCAUACCAAAUAUUUGGGCUUCUGAUUUCUUGGCUGCUAAUUGAUUCUCUUUCUUUAAUUAUACAACCGUGUACUAUUAAAACCUUGUCCUUAAAUAACUUUUAUGUACUUGCCCUUAAUUUGCUACUUUGCAAAAAGUUAGAUUAAUUUAUUUCCUUAAUUAGUUUAUGAUCGUUUGAAUCUCAAUCCCUUAAUUAAGGGAGGUUUUGUGUAAUUGAUAAGCAAUCGGUUUUCAAAUUAUUUCUUACCUUGUUUAUAUCACACCUCCUUUUUCACUACACCCGCAAGGGCAUAAAGGAGUUUUUCCAAUUAAAGGAGAAUCGGAACGAGAUUUAUAUUAAUUAUUCAGAGUAGCCACUUGGAAAAUUAAUGGUGUCCCAAUUCACCGGUUUUAAUCCCGUACCGAGGAAAAACAUGACUCUGUAUUAUAGUCUGCGAUCCAGAAAUCCGGAUGAGGAAUUCCAUUAACCCGGGAGAAGGUGUUAGGCAUUCCCGGGUUCCGUGGUUUUAGCACGAUCGCUUAACUAUUGUAUUUGAUUUUAUCUGAUUUUAAUACAUGCUAACUUUUGUGCCUUUUAUUCGCAAACCGCUUUUAUGAUUAUUUUAAAAUAAUUGCAACAUCGGAAAAAUGCAUCUCGAACCAUGCCGCAAUCAAUGCACCCAUGGUUGUUAACACAUUUUGACUCUGUUGAGAUUCUAAUUUGGGUCGCAUCAAUGCGCACCCGAGUUUAAGAAUGUAAUAUUAUUAAAUACGCGCCUAAAGAAACUUAGCAUUUGCACUUUGCGAGGGCCAUGGAAUUCGCUAAAUGGCACGCCUCGGAUUCUAAGGAUCAAUACAGAAUUAAAUAAAAUUAGGGCCGUGCAAUUAUCAUUUUUGUUUGGCACGGCGCACCUCGAAUUAUUCCAACCUUCUCACGAAUUGAUUUUUAUCUAUAACUCAAAACACCCAAAAUGUCUACCCAACAUGCUUACACUUAAGAAAGAAAUUCUAAACCAACAAAAUGGUUGGCUUCCUAAUUAUCAACACAAGUUCUCAACUGUGUAAUUGAAAUUAGGGACAUCACUCCUAUUAUUGAGUUAUCUCCACGGCAGGUUAUUACCAACUAUAGAAGGAUUAUUAUUUGAAGUUUCAACAAGCUGGUUAUGAGGGCUCACAGGCUCACCACCGGACUCGCUUACAAUUCUGAAUAGUCGUCCACAAUAUGAAAGCCACAAACCACAAUAUUACAACCACAACUCAAGAAACAAUUUCAUUCAUAAUUCAAAGCAUUCUAGAAUUACUAAAAUAAAAUCAGCCUUAUUGCUAGGGGUGUGCAUUCGAUUUAUCGAUUCAAUUUUAACACUUAUCGAUAAUUACUUAUCGAUUAUCAAUUUUUACAUAUGCUUAUCGUUAUCGUUUUAAUAAGGUUUCGAUAUUUUCAAUUUCGAUUAAUCGAUUUUUGGGUCUUAUCGAUUCGGUUAUCGAUAACACCAAUAAUCCAAGAGGCGGGCUGCAUACUUUGGCUGUAUAUAUAUAUAUAUAUAUAUAUANNNNNNNNNNNNNNNNNNNNNNNNNNNNNNNNNNNNNNNNNNNNNNNNNNNNNNNNNNNNNNNNNNNNNNNNNNNNNNNNNNNNNNNNNNNNNNNNNNNNNNNNNNNNNNNNNNNNNUAUAUAUAUAUAUAUAUAUAUAUAUUAAGUUGUAGAUAUUAAUUGAGAGGACAAAAAACAAAAAAUUAAUUAACAGUAUGCAUUGAUUUGCGAUAGAAGUUAAGACAGAGAUGAUAUUAGUAGUGUUUGUAAACUUUGAAAGCCCAAGCAAUGAUUUGAGUUGUUGUAGUUUAAUCACACAUGCAACAACAACCAUGAAACCAACAAUAGCAGCAUGUGACAGAAAAUCAACUAGAAAUCUCAACCUGUAAUUUAUAAUAUCAUUACACAAUAAGUAGUCCAAAGGCAGCUUGAAAAGUACCCGCGAAGAUAGCAGUAAGCACAAUAAGUAGUCCAAAUAUAAUUUAUUAUAUCAUUACACAAUAAGUAGUCCAAAGGUUACAGUAAUCACUACUUUUGUGUAACAGUAAGAACAAUAAGUAGUCCAAUAUUAAUUUAUAAUAUCAUUACACAAUAAGUAUUCCAAAGGUUACAGUAAGCACGACUUUUGUGUAUGCAUCCGGAUUAACAGUCGGAUCUUCAAAUUUCUGAAUCAUUGAGGACAAGAGUAGUGAAACAACAACAACUUAUCUUUCAGAACAGAUGCAGUGAUGCACUGAUCUUUCAGAACUUGAUAAACAAAAGCAAGCUAAACAAAAGCAAGAAACUAUUGCAAGCUAAACAAAAGCAAGAAAUUGUUGCAGCAGGCUAAACAUAACAUCUUGCCAUACAUAAAAUGACUAUAAGACAUGAUUUCCAGCAAAAGAAACUGUUGCAACAAAAAUGAACACGAUCUUGCCAUACACAGCUCAUUUAAUUACGAUGAUGACUGUGGCAGCAAUUAAACAUCAAAAGCAAAAUGAAGUUCCAACAACUUGCGAAUCACCAGUUGAUGGGCAGCAAAUCAACGUCCAUGUUAUAGCUAUAAUGGGCAGCAAAUCAAGAAUCAACCCUCAAGUUAUUAAAGAGAAAAAUAUUAAGAACUUUGUAAUACAUCACAUUCUUUUACAAGUAUAUUAUUUAAAAUAGAGAACUUACAUAGCAAUAAUACAUCACAUUCUUUUACAAGUAUAUUAUUUAAAAUGGAGAACUUAUAUAGCAACUAAUAAACUCUAGCAAACAUCGUCGGUGGAAGCUUCUUUGCCAAGAUUAGAAAAAUCUAAUAAGAAAAUAUAUUAAAAAGUCAAGCAAUUAAUAUAUUAUUUAACUAUCUUAAGAAAUACAAUAAAAUUACUUAAAAGAUAUAUACCUUCCUCGAGUCUCUCGAGAAAAUCUAAAUCUUCCUCAACAUUUACAGGAAGCGAUUCACUCCGAAGCCAAUCUUAAAGGUACACUAGAGUUUCAACCAAUUUAGGAGUUAAUGAACUCCUAAAUUGGUCAAGAAUAUGCUCUCCAGUACUAAAUGCACUUUCAGAUACCACACUUCAAAUAGGAAUAGCAAGCACAUAACAAUAUGUAAUGAACUCCUAAAUUGGUCAAGAAUACACCCUCCAGUACUAAAUGCACUUUCAGAUGCCACACUUGAAAUAGGAAUAGCAAGUACAUCUCGAGUCAUCUUAGAAAGAAUAGGAAAUCUAGGUGAGUUCACCUUCCACCAAACCAAGAUAUCAAAGUCCGAUCUUUCNNNNNNNNNNNNNNNNNNNNNNNNNNNNNNNNNNNNNNNNNNNNNNNNNNNNNNNNNNNNNNNNNNNNNNNNNNNNNNUCUUUCAUUUUCAGGAUCUUCUGCAAGAUACUUUUCCAAUUCUGUUUUAGAAUCUACACCUCCACUUGCAGCUUUAUGUUUCCUUAUUUCAUCUAAAAGAUUGCCUAAACCAGGAGUUGAAGAGAUUGGCAAAGAGGUAGAAACUUCACCACCAAUAUCUUUUGAAACCGAGUUAGCGACAUACUCAUUAAACAAUGAACUCAUAUAAGUAUGAACCUCUUUUUCAAUAAUUGUCCCUUCAUCUCCAAACAUCUUCUUAUGUACAAAACUAAUAGUAGUAAACUUGUAGAGAGGAUCCAAAACACAAGCAAUGAAUAUCAUUUUGUUCAUUUUUGUUGGUUCACAGCAAUACUUCUCAAAUUUUUUCCACAUACUUGAUGCCAUCUCACUCAAAAAUUUAUCUUCAGUUGUUAUUAAUCGCUUUAAGUAAACAACAACUUGACCAAAUUCAAGAAAAUGGGCAUCUGAUGUUACAUAAAGUGAUCUAGACACCUUCAAAGUGAGAUUAUAAAAUAUUUCAAGAAAUUGUGCAAUUCUCUUUACAUCAUCCCAAUCAGUUCUUGUAAGCAAACCUACAGNNNNNNNNNNNNNNNNNNNNNNNNNNNNNNNNNNNNNNNNNNNNNNNNNNNNNNNNNNNNNNNNNNNNNNNNNNNNNNNNNNNNNNNNNNNNNNNNNNNNNNNNNNNNNNNNNNNNNNNNNNNNNNNNNNNNNNNNNNNNNNNNNNNNNNNNNNNNNNNNNNNNUUGUUGUUGCAAUUCUCUUUACAUCAUCCCAAUCAGUUCUUGUAAGCAAAGCUACAGGCUUUCCAACUGAAAUAGCAUCAAACAUAAUAUAACUUGACAAGCCGAUAUCACGAUCAGAAUAUUCUUUAAUUGCACGCUCAUAUUCUAUAGCCCUGCUCAACAUCAAGUUGGGGGAAUUCCACCUUGUAGGAACAUCUAAGCAUAAAGACUUCUUGACAAUAUAUUCACUUUCACAACAUUCCUCAAACUUCCUCAACCUAGUAGGAGACUGUCUAAUGUAUCUGACUGCACAUCUAACACGAGAAAUAGAAAUACUUGACUCUUUUAAACCAUCUUUCACAGUAAGAUUUACAAUAUGAGCCACACAUCUCAUGUGAUGGUGUUGACCAUUCAUGGAAUUGGUUCCCCAAUCAUUUAAUUUGUCAGACAACUUCUCCAUGGUCACAUCAUUUGAACUAUCAUUGUCAACUGUGACAGUGAAAAUUUUCUGCAAACCCUACUCAUGCAAAUAAUCAAUAAUACACCUUGCCAUAUCUUCACCUUUAUAACUAGUAAUUGGCGAAAAGUUAAUAAUUCUUUUACGCAUAAUCCAUUCACUAUCAAUCCAAUGGGUUGUGAUGCACAUAUACUUAAAUUUGUUAAUAGAAGUCCAUGUAUCAGUGGUAAGACUUACUCUUUGACUUGUUCCUUUAAGAAACUUCAUUAAUUUAUUUUUUUCCACAUUAAAAAGAGCAAAACAAUCCCGUGUAACAGUAGUACAGGAAGGAAUAUGAAAACAAGGUUGUGCCACUUUUAUAAAGUUUCUAAAGCCUUCAUUCUCAACAAAACUAAACGUAAGUUCAUCAACAAUUACCAUACGACACAAAGCCAUCCUACACUCUUCUUGAUCAAAUUUCCAUGUAAUAAGACUACCUUUAUUACCCCCCGGUAAUUUGUGAAAUUGUAAUAGUUUUUGACCUUUUUCAACUUUAUAAGGAUUCUUUGGACAUUUAUCAAUAUGACCAUUCAUUUGUGUCGUACUUUUGCCUUUUGUCUCAAAAUAUUCUUGUCCACAAAAUCUACAUGCAGAUUUAUUAUUUCCUUUAGCAUCAACUUUUCUUCAAAAAAUUCCCAUGACCGAGAUCGUUUUCUCCUUUGUUUUGAAACUGUCGAGCGAGUAGUUGCAACUGUAGACUCGGAAUCUUUACUUUCAUCAACUACUUUAUCAAUAUUAUCAUUUUCAGCCAUGUGAAGUGAAUGAAGAAUGUAAUUUACAGUCUUAAACGAGUUGAACAAAUCAAAGCAAGACGAAGUCAUCACUCCUUGAUCUUGACUUAAAAAUUAUGGCUGGAAAAAAAUCAAGAAGUUCCAUUACUGUUUAUUUUGUUUGAUUGAGAACAUGUAUAAAGAUCUCCUAAUUCUUGACUGCUAACUUGAAGUUUUGUUUAGAAUUCCUAUUUAAUUCACACCUCAUACCAUUGUUCAAUUCACCCAACAUCCUCCAUCUGUAUUCCAUGUACCAAACCUUUGUAUUUUGCAAGGACCCCAAAGUCGUUGAUUAUUACUAGAUCAUUGCGCUUGUUGUUCUUUCCUGACUUAUGCUACUUUGAUGUACUAGCCAGAUCUCGUCUUGUGCAAUUGGAAAGCUGAUGGUAAAUUUUGAAGUCAUUUCUCACUUAUUCUGACCGAACAGACCCAGUAGGGGAAAUGAACAAGAUAAAAGGAAAAAACAAAGGAAAGAGAUGACUCCUAACAAGAAGAACUAUAAAGUAGAAACCUAUCAGACACGGAUACCAAUUCUAAUGGUCAUGACAUGCACAUGUGGCCUAUUCUAUCAAGCAAUUCUGAUGUUCAGCUCUUUUGGUACCCCUAAAGCAUGAAAUUGGGCUUUGAUUCUACGUCUUUCACAAUCUCCGUCUGGUGAUUUCCCAUCUCAUUCUCAAUUCUUAUUCGACUUGUAGUGCCUGAAGGAUUUUCACUAUCAAGCCUCUCUCAUUUUGGUCUUUCUCUCAACUUAUAGUCGCCUCAAGGUGCCAGUGAAGGUUUUCACCAAUAAGACUCUCUUAUUAUUUCUGUCAACUUCCGUCGCCUUAUGAUGUCUGUGAAGGUUUUUACUGAUAAGACUCUCUCAUUCUCAUUUAUUUUCUGCUAGGGAUCAGAGUGUUAUUCUCGACUUCCAUAUGCCUGACUUGGCAUCUUUUGAAAACUGAUCAGAAGGUCUUUCUUUAGACCGUAAUGUGGGAUUUUGGUAGGGCUAGAAAUAAAGGGUAUUAAAGGCUCAAACAAAUCAACUUGGGUUCAAAAUUACAACCUUCGGAACUAGAUUUCUUUACAACAAACACAACUUCUGCCCCAGUUUCUUGCUUGGGGAUAUUUUGAUUUUUGUUACACUAUGACCGAGCCGUGAAGUACCUACGUAUCCUCUUUUGAGGAAUCAGGUCAAACUUAGUUCACCCUGAAUUCCUUGUUGUUUUGUUAUUUUCUUUUCUUUAUCUCUUUUUUUUUUAUUUUGUUGCUUUGUUGUUUUUGUUAUUUUAUUUUUCUUUUUCUUUCUCCUUUUCUUUAUCUUAUCUUUCAUGUUUGUGUUUCUACUCUUUGCUGCUAAUUUCGAAAGAGGGAUAUGAAAGAAACCAAAUAAGGCUCAAAGGGUUAACGAAGGAUAAAGUAUUUAGAUAGCAGAACAAAACGCCUUAUCAUUCCAAUCUUCAAAAUGUACCAAGCACAAACAACGCGAUUAAACAAGGACUUGUAACAUCUUCUGACCGUGCUAGACUUGGUAGCUAUAUCCACAUCUUUGAUUUCUUCAUUGGUUAAAUACAAAGCACCAUUUGGGCUGCACUUUCACUCUCAGUAUCAUGAACGACCCUUGCUUUUACAGUUUCUUUGUAUUUUAUCUGCCCAUGAUUCCAACUGGUUCGGGCUUCAAAUAACCUUAAAAUGACCACAUAUGUUCUUAUUUUCAAAAAUUAUUUCAUUGCUUCCUGACUAAAACGACUUUUAGAUAUGUGACUAAGAAUUAUGGGUGCAUGUCAUGUCACUAGAAUCGGCGCUGAACAAAAGACAAAACAAAAGGAUAAAAAGAACUAAAUAAAGAAGAUGACCGGAAAGAAUAAAAGACCAAAAUUCGCACUAGACAAACGAUGAAAUGGUUUGCAUAACCAAACAAGCAAAACAAACUGGAGUACAACCUUGGAACAAACCUGAAACAAACUUGGACAAAACUAAGCAAACUGCUAUGACAAAAAUGAAAGGAUAAGAGGGUUUGACACAAGGCAAUAUUCGUAUUACAGCCCUGAAAAUAACCCAGAUAACAGAAAUGACAAUAAAAUAAACCACCAAAAACUCUACUCCGACUGACCAAGAAAUGAAGCGUCUUCCCAAUUACUAAGCAGGACAUCUUAGCAACUGAGCUUCGCAUCAACAAUACCAGGAACUUCACAAGUCUUCAUCAUAUCGUUCUUAGUAAGUUGUUUUUUUGGGCCCUCGAGGUUUUCAGAGAAUUUUCACAUUCCUCUUCAAGACAAAUCAUGCCCACCUUGUCUGUCUCAUUAUGCGCAGGCGAUGGAUUUUGGUUGGUGUCCACUGCAUCCGGAUUUUGUACGACAAUGUCACUUGCAUCAAUAAGCUCUUGAAUUGCUUUCUUUAGCUUCCAACACUUCUCUAUAUCAUGCCCCAGGGCAUCUGAGCAAUAUCGCACUUUUGAGAAAAAUCACAAUUCUUUGACAGAGGGUUUGGAAUUUUUAUCUGGAUUGGCUUCAACAUGCCCAAUUGCUUCAACGUUUUCAACAAACUGGCAUAUGACCCUCCAACAGGGGUGAGAGCCUUUUCUUGUUUUAGCAACCUCUCAUUUCUAAAUGCCUGAUUUGGCCUAAAACCUGACCUAGGAGGUUUCUGGUAUGCUCGUGGGGGUGGAUAGGCAUUUUGUGGAGCUGAGUACUUGGAAAGUGAAGUAUGUCUUUGGGAGUCCUGUGGAAAGAAGUAGUGUUGGGGAGAAUUACAAGGAUAUCCAUGGGGUUGAUAUGGAAGCUUAGGUCGUUCAGUAAAGAUGAUCACUGGACCUGGAGGUUUCACAAUAUCUUUUCUUUCCGUAGGAAGAUCAUCCCGAGCAUCAUGUUCACUCCAUCUGAGCCAGAACUUCCUAAAACCUUCUUCAGGUUUCUCCUCUAUCUGAGAUAUGGAGGAGUGGGUUGGGAUAAUGUUUGUAUUGUUCUGGGAGUGUCACACAAAGUUCUGAGCCAUGUCAUCCCAUGUAUUCCACUUACUGACAUCUUGACGAUCAUACCAUUCCAAAGCUGCCCCAGUCAAGCUUUUGCGGAAGUAUGCUAACAGCAAAUCGUCUUUCUGGCCAACAUUCCUCAUUUCCUCGCAGUAGUCCCUCAAAUGGACAACCGGAUCUUCGCAUUCCUUAUUCAAGUUAAACUUUGGUACCUUAAUCCUUGCGAGUAAGCAGACGUUAGGGAGUGUACCCAACUCUUGGUAAGACAUGUUGCCUCGGUCUCUCGCCCUUUGCACAUUUUUAAGGAUUGUUUUAUGUUCCUCAACCUCUCAGUACUUGAAGGAAGAGUGAUGGAGAUACUAGGGUGAUCGGGAGAUGCCAAAGUUUGGGUAAGGGCCUCAUCUAAGAAACCAGGCGGUAGCGGUAUGGGUGCCUUCCCAACCAUCCAAGACUGAUACAUGUCUGCCACAUGCUGUCAACAUUUUUACCUCUUCUACCAACCCGUUAUCCUGUUCAACCAGUUGUUUUUGGGAUUCUAUACCAACCCACUCAGUUUUGUUGUUCUCUGCCAUUGUCUUUUGCCUUUGUGUUGCAGGGAAGCAUUACUUUAGAACCACAAACCAACCACUUUUUCGGAGAUUGAAAAAGAACAAAAUAGGAGCAACCUGUUCGCGUUAGGGCUUUUAACAUAUAGGUAAAUACACAUUAGGGAUGCAAUGAAACUACAGAGUUAACCCUUUCUACCAUGCAUUUGCUUUAGUUCUUGUGUAUCAUUCCGGCUUCUUAUAAUCAUUCCCCUUUUGAACGACUCCCAAACUUUCCUUUAUUUUUCUUUGUUUCUCAUUUUCUCUUUUUCCAUUUUUUUCUUCUUCUUUUUUAAUGGUGGUCGAAUCUUAUGUGGAUUGCCUACGUAUCAUGUCCCCGUGCGUAGUUCUGACCGAUAAAAGGUAAACAACAAUAAAAUAUUUUUUGGAAUUUUCAAAUUUUCAUAAAAAAAGGGACUAACUUAAAGACGAAAUACAAUCUCGAAAGUUAAACUACCUACAUACUCUAGUCAAAAGAAAUACAAACUCAAAAAUAAAAUGACAGAUUCCUUCCCCUAUAUGUCGAUCUUAACCAAACGACUGUUUUUGCAAAUGUUGUACCUUCCCAAUUUCAUAUGAAUUUUGAGGGGGAUAGAUUAUUUUAAGACACUUCACAAACCUAUCCAUUCUUGAAUGAAAAUAGCCUUUCAACAGCUGAAAGAUACUCAAAGGCUAUCUCGGCAAGAACAGUUUAAGACACCGCAGAAGCUGGAUCGGCUUAUUUUGACUAAAAAUUCAAAUGGUAUUCGCUUGAGCAGUAAAACUUUUCUUAUUUUUGGAAUUAAAACAAAAGACCUGGUUUUGCAAACACGGCCUUUCAGCGUCUCGGGACGAAGAUUUUAAGGCUGUAUUAUCUAACCGGCCAAAAAUCCUGAAAAAUGACCCAAGGUGGCUGUUUAUGCUAAGUCAGACUUCCGGAGUCCCUUUCCGGAACAUGCGGCUAUCUUUGAAAAAAAUGGCAUCACCCGAAUUAUUUAUGACGAAUCUCACAUCCAAUGAGAAUCAAACCAGCGAAGUUUGGAAAAGAAAAUAAACUAAUUUGGAAAACAAGACUUCUUUCUUUUGUUUUUCAAAUAAAUCACACCAAAAAAAAUAUUUUUUUUUCAAAAUUUUGGCGGAGUUUCGACGCUAUUUGGGAACUGGGUCCUUUUUAAAAAUCGGUAAUUAUCUCUCUACACUGAUAUUUUUCUUUUUCUCUUUUUCCCUCUUUUUUCGAUAUUUCAGUAUUUUUAGAAGUUGACCAGGAUGCAAAUUUGAAGCAAAUAAAUGCGUAAAACAAAUAUCAUGCAGCAGGAUGGUCAUUUCAUUUCAGGUUGCUUGUGCUAUACGGACCCAACCCCUGUGUUGAGUUCCCUAAGUAAAAAAUGCAUAUGAUGCAAAUAAACGUUCCUUCUAGGGAUCUGGCAUGGGGUUUUGUUAUACUAGAUUUGUCCUGGGUGUUUGUUCUAGACCUGGCUUACCCCGAGCGGACAACGCGAGCCAAGGAUGGGAACUACGUACCGGUAACCAAAAGAUCAUCCGAUUUUGCAACUCCUCCGAGUACUCAUUCUAUUUUGGGAUAUGACACUAACACAAAGAAGUCACGACCAGCGUGCCAUCCUCAUGAGAGAAAAGAGAGGGGUUUCAUGGCAGUUUAUAUAUACAGUUCAGAUAAUAUAAAAGCGGUAAAAGCAGCAUAUUGCACAUUAAAUCCACAAAAUGUAUAAAAUCAGAUAACAAAUAAAACCAAUAUAACAAUUAUUCUAAGCUCAAAUUUCUAACCCUAAACUAGUGGUUCUGGGUUAAUUAUCCCUAGCAGAGUCGCCAGAGCUGUCACACCUUCUUUUUCCUACGCCCUGCAGGGCGUAAGAGGAGUUUUCCUAAUUAAAGGACAAUCAAAACGUGAUUUAUUUAUUGAAAUUCAGAGUCGCUACUUGGGAGAUUUAUGGUGUCCCAAGUCACCAGUUGAAUCCAGAAUCGAGGAAAAGAUUGACUCUGUAUUACAGUCCGCAAACCAAAAUCUGAGUACGGAAUUCUAUUAACCCAGGAGAAGGUGUUAGGCAUUUCCAGGUUCCGUGGUUCUAGCACGGUCUCUUAACUGUUGUAGUUAGCUUAUUUAUCUGAUUUUAUUACACGAUGAACCUAUGUGCCAAUUUUUACUUUUAAACUCUUUUUAUUUAAUUUUUAAAGAAAGUUGAACGUCGUUUAAAAUGCGCCUUUAGAUUGCGCCACAUGAAAUGCACCCUCAAUCCUGAAUAUAUUUUAUUCUACAUUUUGGGAUCCUAUUUUGGUCGCAUGAAAUGCACACCCGAGUUCAAGAAUGUAAUUUUAUUAAAAUCGCGCCUAAAGUGACUAACGCGUUAUUAUUUUGGGGAAUGCCAUGAAAUUUGCUAAACAACCCAUCCCGAGUUCUAAGUAUUUAUUAUAACAAUUUAUUGAGGGUCCCGAAGUUUGUGCAUUUUAUUUGCUGAGACUCGUCUCAUUUUUUAUUAAAAGUCAAGUCUAAAGUAAACUAUAAUUUUCUAUUUAGUUUUUCUCUAUUAAUAAAAGAAAAGUCCCAAUUAAUUAACAUGUUUAAGAUGUCCAAAAGUCCAUAAGUCAAUUAUGUGCAGUAGUUGAAUAGAUAGAAUAAGACAUAUUAUGUAUUUCAAAGCAAUUCCGGUUUCAUUUAACAAGGGUCGGACUUCCUGGGCCCAGGACGAAUUCAGAGGCCCACUCUCACAUUUAAAUUUGGAGCCGGUGAGUACACGAUUAGUAACCAAAUCAGUGUAAACUUUAAUUGAUUUAUCCGAAUAAGCUAAAUUAUUUUAAGUGAUCUUCUAUAUGAAUGGAAGCAAGCGUAUUGCUUCUUCAGGUGUGAUUUGCACCGAGCAAUCACUAAUUCGAUUGUCAAGACCUGAUAUUAACUGGAACUCAAUAACUAUUUUGCCUUAUUUGACAAGCUGUAAACAAAGCUGGGAAUCAAACAAGACCGCUAAUACUCAUUCAUUACCUUUUCAUUUAGAGAAUAAUAUGCCCGAUCGCUUUGACCUCAAACCAAAUCAAUGUAUUCUACCUCUAUUAAUAGGAUGGGAACCAACCAAAAUCAUGUUUCUAAAUUCAAAUGUGACUUAUUGACAAAACUAGUACUACUUAAGUCUCUCCCUUAUUAUCAAUGCUUUCAUAAUUCCAAAAUAAAGGAGAAUCCAACAGUCCAAAUUAUACAAGCCAAGGAUUACAAAUCGAUAGUGUACUUAAACAAACACGAGACAACCAUUAUCUAUUCUACAAUAACAACUCAGGCACAUAUUUUUCAAGAGAUAAAUGUUUCAUUUCAUUGCACAGCUUCAUCAAAACAUGCUUCAAAUGUGUACCUAAAAAUUGAAAUUUUCAACAGAAGAAGGAGAUCAGAACAGCAAUACAAUAGCAGUCAACAACAGUUCACAUCAGCAAUUCAAAUGAAGUUCAAAGCCCAAAAAAGUUUGAAAACCCAGCAGGAUCAACAGAACAACAAAUGUAAGAACACCAAAUCAAACGAGAAAACCAACCAAACUAGCUUGACUAACACCAAAUGUACUUGAAGAUGCACCAAACUACUUCAGUGAACCCAAACUCAACUAAAACUAUAAAAUGUGAAGAGAAUAACUGGAAAUCAGAAUCAACCUACAAUUACUCAAUGAAACAAUAGGUUCAUUUGGAUUUUCGAUAAUUUUUCUAUUUUUUUGGGUUUUCUUUGAAGACAACUCAGAUCAGUUUUUUCAAGACUCUCUAUCUCUGUGUGUUCAAGCUCUAAAGCUUUAAAAAACCGAUCUCAAAUUCUGCCUGAAGAACUGACUAAACUUAGUAUGUUCUUUCAAACUCUCCAACUCCUAAAAACUUAUUCCUCAAAAAAUAAAACCCCUUACUCUGCCCAAUUCUCCCUCUAUUUAUAUCCAAACUAAAGCCCUCUUCCAGCUCUUAAGAGCACUCACUUAUUAAGAAAAUGAACCCCUCCCAUCAAUAUUCCGUGAAUACCCCACUACUAAGUGUCCUAUUCUAUUUUUUAAUUCAAUUGUUCCCCACUAACAUAUGUCUUCCCUUAUUAAAUUCAAGCAGGUAUGGGCAGCCAUUUCUAAAUAUAGGCAUGCCCUGACAGUCCACGUUCUUCCUGAUUCUUUCCAACCCAUUCUUUAUUAAAUAAUGUCAUUAGUUUAAUAGUUCACUAGCAUUCAUAUGAACAAACCACUUAAACUGAGCAAGUUCACUUAAACUAACACUCUUUAAUGUGCAAUCUAGCAAUCAGAUAACAUACAAAUAAUCAGCUAAAAUUUUAGAGGUUAACUAAUAUGAUUUUCGGCUAAAAGGAUAGUCAUGCUAAAAUCGAAAUAAACAAUUGAUCAAAAGAAAUAAUUAAGCACAUUGAACGACAUAUGAACCAAAAAUUAACAGAACAAUAAUCAAAAUAGGCUUCAAACUUAAGACAAACCUUUGGGAAAUUUCAAACUAGCAUAAAAAGAAAGUAGAAGAGAAAUUUCAAAAAAAAAAUGACAACUAAAACAAACUGGAAAGGCAUAGAACUUACCCAUCAAAUUUGAACUCAGGAUCGAAUUCUCCGAAUUCCUCCAAUUUUCGGUCCAUUUCGACCUUAUUUGUGUGUUCUUAGCAAAACAAACGAAUAAAGUACAAAUACACCUAAUCCACUUAUAUGGAUUCCAACAACAACAACAACAACAACAACAACAACUACCCAAUAUAUUCCCACAAAGUGGGGUCUGGGAAGGAUAAUAUGUAGACGAGCCUUACCCCUACCCGAAAGGGCAGAGGGGCUGUUUCCAAUCGACCCUCGGCGUAUAGGAUAAAAAAGGAAAAGCUGUAUUAAGAAACAAAGGUAAAAUUAGAAACACAGGCAUGACAAAACAAAAUAAUAAAGCAUAAGUACUCCCGCAAAAAUAACGUAAAUAAUUAUGAAAACAUAAGCAACAUAAAUACAGUCGCAUGCAAUAAUAAGAAAAAGAAAAAGAAAAAGAAAAAGAUUCCAUUUCCCUAUUUUUGGGAUUUUAGGGUUUUCUUCUAAUCUAAUAUUCGAUAACGUAGGCCUAUAUUCGAGGGAGACUAGGCAUGAAUUUGGGGUGAGGGAGUCAAGUAGGUUACUGGAUGUUAGUUCGGGGCUUUUUGGAGGUGGUGCCACCAUCAGAAACUUUCAGGCGGCGCUAGGGUGGGUUUUGAUAAUUCGAGAAGAUGGGCUAAGAUUCGACGGAAGUGGAGUGUGGAUUUGGAGAGAAGAGGUCUCAAGGCUUGCGGGGUGUAUUUUUGGUAGGGUUUGGACAACCGGAACCUCCGUGAGGUGCUUUCCAGUGGGUAGGGGCGACGGAGGGAUUUUGGGGUCUCUGAAGGUUAGAGAUGAACUGAAUGGGGAGGGAUUUGGUUUUGGGGGAUAGGGUAUUUGAUUUAGGUAUAUUAAAAUUAAAUUAAUUAAUCUGGGUCGUUGGAUGUUGGGAUCCAAGGGCCUUGAUUUAUUCAUUUAAAUGAAACGGGGUCGUUUGGAUUCACGGUGGGGCUAUACCGGUGCGGAUACAACGGGUCGGGGCAGUUUAUUGGUUAGGGUAGGUCAUUAGGGAUCGUUGGACUAAUUUGGAUGAACGUCUGUGAUCGUUUGAGGACGAAACGACGUUGUUUGGCUGUAUCUAAGGCUGCUGAUUUGGAACCGGGUAAAAGGUGUGUGGACUGGGCUGGUGAGGGGUUAUUUGGUUUGGGCUUGUGGAUCUAAAAAUGAAAAGAUGGCCAGUCCGAAUUUCUCUUCUAUUUUUUAUUAUCUUUUCUUUCCUAAUUUUAAAAUCAAAAAAUCCUAGAUUAAAUUGAAAAACCAAAAUUAACUUAAAAAUACUAAUCAACUCUUAGUAAUAAUUAUUAUCACACAAAAUUAAAUAUAAAGAAAAUCACACAAUUUAAACAUUAAAAUGUAAAAAAACAUAAUUACUCCUAAUUGUAAUAUUAUAUUCUAAUGCAAAUGCAAUAUGUUUUUAUAUUUUUUAUUAAUUUAACAAAUCACGGAUAAAUGCAAACAACAAAACAAAAUACCACAAAAUCCUCAAAAAUCAAACAAUGAAAACAAUUAUUUUAUUUGAUUUUUGUGGGAGUAAUUCUUGUGAGGCAAAAAUCAUGUGCUCACAACUGUUACGAGGGUGAAUGCGAGAUUUGUAGAAGAUUUGAAGUAUCAGAUAGUCUAUGUUUCACGAGCUUAUGAAGGAUUGAGUUUAAUCUCAAUAUGGUAAUAUGAGAACAAUAGAAUAUAUGAGUUAUGAGUUAAGGUGUAUGUUUUGACCUAUGCUUUCGAGCCAAACAGGGGAUUAUGCUAAUGAUUAGUUGGUUGCAUAGGUAUGUGCUCUGUCGGUUCUAGUUUGAGGUGUAUGGGUGAAUCAGUUAUGGCUUACGGAGAUUGAUACCGAAGAUGGCUCGAGUAAAAGGGAAAUUUUACAAUAUGUCAUGCCUUUUAUGGUGUAUGAGAAUCACAGAAUGUCUUGAGUGACUAUUGGUAAAGAGUGUGAGGUGCGUGGAAUAGGAAGUUGCUUGGUUGCAUUGAGGUAGGGCUACAGUCUGCGAUGCCGGAGUGCUAAUGAGGCACAAGUUGUUUGGUUGUUUGAUCAAGCUAAUUGCAAUUCAAGUAGAGUGAAUGACUUUCGAAAAUGGUUCUAAUGUGUUCAGGAUUCCACAUGUAAUAAUUGGAGAUUUUCAAGUUGUACAAUUUGCUAGAAACUGAGGUUGCACUGGAAGUUGUCAAGACUAGUAGUAUUCAUAUAUCAUUAUAGGGUUCUGUAUAGCAAUAUUAUGAAGGUAAAAGUAAUGGCCUUGGAUUUGCAGGAAGUCUUUUCAGGGUAGGUAUUUCUAAUGUGGUGCGUUCAGAAUAAUCUAAGAGAGAAUUCAACGGCUUAUGAGCCUUAUGUGGUGUGGUGUUAAGUUAAAGUUGUAGGGCAAGAUUUAGUUAAGGAUCGUGAUGUGCUAGCAAGGAAACAUAUAAAUUGAAGGUAAUCCGGAAGAAACUCAAAGAAUUAGGACAUCUUGGUAGUAGGCUAGAUCAACAUAUAAUGGAUAUGAUCGGUUCUUGGGUGUUUAUGAAGUGGUAGGUUUCCAAAGGUGUUUCAUGGUAAUGCUUUUGGGUUUUUUGGCUUGUGUAUCUUGGUUGAGCUAGAAGGAGUCAGUCCUGAUGGUUCGACUUUGUGCAAAAAAGGGAUUCAUAGAGUUCUUGAUAAUUUCUACGCGAGCAUGGUAUGUAUAAUGAUUUUCUCCUAGAUGGGAUCAAAUGGAAAGUUCUUAUCUAGUCGAGUACGUAGAUGUCUAUGGCUCGGAAGGGAGACGAAGUUUUCAUGUUAUUCUAGGAUGGUAUGGUAUAUGCGGUAUGUUGUGGAGGAUUGAGAUUUGUGUUUGUAAGGUUACGGUUUAGUCCAAAAUGAAAGGUCAUAAAAUCCUUAGGCAACACUGGCCGUUUUGGUUAAUUAGAGAGAUGGUCUUCAGAUGAUUAAGGAAAUGGUAUUGCUAAAUGAGGUGAUUUUACGAGGGUAUAUGUUUCAGAAAAAGACAAUGUGAUUAAGUUUAUGGUACUUUAUUAGUAUUGUGGCACUUUCUUGUUGGAUCGACUGCAGAUGUUCGAGUUUGGUUGGUGGCACCAAAGCAUCAUAAGAAUAGCUCUCGUGGGAAUGAUUGGAUAUUAGAGGUGUGUUGUAUACUAGGACGGUGGAAUUGAGAUCAGGUGUGGUGAUUCCUGUGCUAUAUGGAGUUGGAGACUGGGAGUUCUUAUAUUCAGGCUAUGUUGUGGUUGUGGGUCGCAUGUAUAGACAUUUUAUCGUGACUAUCAGGGUUUGGAGACCCGAAUGGAUCUUUUACUGCUUGGCGUAUUAGAUUUUAGGAUGCAAUAUUGGGUAUAGACUAGUUGUUUCAUUGUUGUUUCACUCUGAGCUAUUUCACUAAGUCGGCGAUGUUGGAUAUGCCGGGAAUGCCACAGAUUGGUGGCGUGGUUCGACGGAUUUAUGUUCGUAGUAGGGUAAUUUUAUAUUUUAAAGACCCAGCGGAUGGUUGGGAAGGAUUGCCUUUCUUAUUUGGUUUUUUGCGAUGGAUGUCAGUGUUCAGACUCCUACCAUUGAUUCAAUUCCGGUGGUGAGGGGAUUUUUGGAUGUGUUCUUGUGGCCGGGCAUGUCGUCGGCUACAUUUUUUAUUUCUGUAUUGAUUCGAUGCUGGACACCGUAUCGUAUGGAACCGGCAGUGUUAUAGGAGUUGAGGGAGCAGCUUCAUGGUUUCCUUGAUAAAGGGUCCAUUGGCAGGCCAAUGUGGAUGUGUGUUCUAACUUGAGUAGACUUGGUUGGCUCCGAGUUGUAAUUUUAAGAGAUGUGUAAUUCGAUUAAUAUUGUGCCUACUAGUGUUCUGAGGAGAUAUAUGAGUUACUUUUCUGUGUUGACGGGCAUUUGGAUUUGUUGGUUAUAGGCGCAUGCAGUGCGGUGUUAUUAGGGUCUCUAAGUAGAGCUCAAGCGGGAGGAGUAUUGGAUAUUGCUCGGCGGAUGGCAUAUAAGUUAUAUCCUUUUGGGUUAUGUGGUGUUAUGUAUUUGAUUCAGCGUGGUUAUGAUGAUUUUCUUUAGUUGUAGACAUUAAUUGUGCGUGGUCGUCAAUUUUGAGCAGAGUGACUUGAGAUGUUUCAUGUGGACCAGUGUUUGGAUAGGGUUGUGCAUUGUAGUGAAGUUCUAUGGCGGUAUGACCUUGUGGGUUAGAUUCAUGUGUUCUGUUUCUAUGAUAUGAGACGGGUUCUCAACCUUGUAGUAUAGUGGUACUGGUGAGCUUGUGGUACAACUCUUUCAUUUGAGUCAUUUUCAUGAUUGAAGUAUGCUCGGAUUAUUUCUUAUUAGUAUGUGUAUUGCGCAAGUUGCAGUUUUAGUCUGUAUGGGGCUGCCAUGUCACCAUGGUGGUUGUGUUGGAUUAGAUGAGAUUGUUAGGAUCUUUAAUGAAUAUGAACAGAUUCAAUUUCAGCAACUUAGGAGGAUAAAUAUCGAGGUUCGACUCAGAAAUUUGCUAUGGUCUUUGCAAGAGAAGAAGUGGCUUCAUGAAUGUUUGAUCUUAGAAUUGACUAUGGCUUACUGUGUGUUUUAUUUAUCACUGGCAGUAUAUGAAAGUGUCGGGAUAAGAAUUUAACUAAUAAGAGGUUUCCUACCGGUAUUCGGUUGUUAUGUGCAACUGCUAUGAUUAAAAGUUAGCGGUACAAGUGUUUGAGUUAUAUGGUAUAUCAUGUAAUCACACCUGAGGCUGAAGGUAUGGGUUAUUACAGCUGGUUCGGACUUAUUCAGUGUAUAUAUGUGAGAUUUUGAUCAUGUGGAUGAUUUCAGAAGUUGAAAUGUGGUUCUAAGGUUAAUGGACUAGGUUGAAUUGUGAAAUUUUAGUCACAUUGUAUUAUUGUACCUAAAUAAGAUAGGGUGAUGUGGUAUCACCCCUAGGUAUAUGUAUGGUAAGGUUAUUCAGCAGCUGGUUGACUUUUGGAACAACUCUAGGCACGUUCGAGGACAAAUAUAUGUUUAAGUGGGGGAGGAUGUAACGACCCGACUGGUUGUUAUGAGCUUUUGCAGUUUAUUCGUCAGUUCUCGGGAAUUCCCCGUGUGAUGUAUUAUGACUCGUGUAAAUUGGUGGUUUUGGUUUUUAGGGUAAUCGGAAUGAAUUUAGAAGAAUAGUUUCCAGUUUAAAGAUUGAAAUUUGAAAGGUUUGACCAAUAUUUGACUUGUGUGUAUAUGAUCUCGGAUAGGAAUUUUUAUGAUUUGGUUAGCUUCUUUAGGUGAUUCGGGACUUGAGAGCGUGAUCAGAAUGCAUUUUGGAAGUUCGUGGAAGGUUUAGGCUUGAAUUGGCAAAGUUGAGAUUUUGGCGUUUUCCGGUUGAUAGGUGAGAUUUAGAUAUAGAGCUCAGAAUGGAAUUCCGUAAGUUGCAUUAGUUUCGUGUUGGCAUUUGGGAUGUGUGACUAAUUUAAGGUCAUUCGAACGUGGUUUGAUUGGAUUUUUGAUAAAAACCGGAAUUCUAAAGAUUUUGGUAUCCUAGGCUUAAAUUUGAUGUGAUUUUUGUGUUUUAAUGUUGUUUUUAGCGUUUCGAAGGUUGGGAUGAGUUUGAAUAAGGUAAUGGGACAGGUUUGUGCUUUUGGUCGAGGUCCCGGAGUCCUCGGGGUGAUUUUGAAUGGUUGUCGGAGAGUUUCAAAAAUUGAGAAACUGCAUAUUUUUCUGUUGUGGUGUUUCCGCACAUGCGGAUUUGGGAACGGUAGGUGCAAUGCCGCAGAUGCAAGGUAAUGACCGCAGAAGCGGUCAAGGAAGAGAGGUGCAGGCGCCGCAGAUGCGGUUGGUUGACCUCACCUGCGACAGCGCAGGUGCGGCUAUGUGGUUGCAGAUGCAAUUUUUGGAUUUUAACUGAAAGCCGCAGAAGCGGCUUGUUGAGCGCAGGUACUAAAAUGCCUGGGUUAGAAUAUAUAUAUUUCACCCUUCGCGAUUUUGAGAAGGUUUUCACCAUAUUUCAUUCAGGAGAAAGCUUGGAAGAGCUAAUUGAAGAGGGAAUUCAAGAGGAUUUCGUGGAGAUAAAAUUUUUUGAUCCUAAACUUGUUUCUAUGAUGAAUUUUAACAUUUUAUAGCUUGCAAUCUAUGGAAAAUCAGUAGCAAAAUUGGGGGUUCAGGGCUUGGAAAUUGGAGAUCUUAUAUUAGGGAUUUAAGGGGUCAUUUGUAAUCAGAUUUUUGUAUUCUUGAUAUGUAUGAACUCGUGAGAGGAUGAACAUUUCAUUGAUGUUAAUUUUAUUUUAUUUCGAGAAGUAGGCCUGGGGGUUGGGUUUGAGAAAUUUGGGGAUUUUUUUUAUGUAAAUUGGAUAUUUUCGAGUGGCUUUGUUCCCUUAGCAUACAUUAAUGGCUAUAUACUGAUUGUGGCUAGAUUUGGAGCAUCCGGAGGUCGAUUCGUGCGGGCAAAGGCAUCGUGAGCUAAAGUUUGGACCGGAUCGAGGUGAGUAAUGAUUGUAAGUAAUAUUCUGAGGGUUUGAGACCCCGGGUUGCACAUCAUAAUGCUAUAUUUAGGUGGGGCACACGUUUGAUGAUGAGCGUGGGGUCGUGCACUAUUGGGGAUUGUGACUUGGUCCGUCCCGAUUUAUGAUUUUACCACGUAUUUGAUUGAAAAUUAUUCGUUGUCAUCAUUAUUUAGGCUGAAUGCCGCCAAUUAUUUGAAUCCUUCCAGGUUUUUUUUUUUAUAUUUCCUCACUUUUUUGAUUUUAUACUUGAAUUCAGUCAUGUUAUUUUCCACUAUUUUCAAAACUCAGCCAUGUUCACUCAGUUUUAAUACUCGAAUGAUAGCUAAGUGAUGUUUUGGGCUAAGAAUCAUUUUUUUACUAUUGCUCGGGAGGCUUAUGUGAUUUUUGACUGAGAAGGCCGAGGGCCUGUGCUGUAAGGAUAUAUUUUGGGUCGGGCUGAACAUCGCAGCGGUGAUACACUAAUAUUGAUUCGAGGCCGAGGGCCUGAGAUAUGUACGCCACGAGGUGGCUUGAUUGAUAUGAGGCUGAGAGCCUAGUGAUGAUGCUAUGAUAUGGCUUGAUAUUGCGCUUGUGUCGUAUGGGGCCCCUCUAGGAGUCUGCACACCCCCAGUGAGCAUGGGUAUCCAUUGUCAUGUGAGAGUGAGCCCAAGGGGCUAGUAUUGUUCUGAGAUAUUGCCUGAGGGGCGGAUUUGUUGACAUUGUGCCCGAGGGUCGAACCAUAUGUGCUUAUUUUUCUUAUUUGUCUGUCAUUUACCUGUUUAAUUAUGUAACUGUGCCCGAGGGGCAAAUUAUCUGUGCUUAUCUUGUUUUGCAUUCAUUUGCAUAACUAUUGAAAAGGUCAUUUUUAAAGAAGUUUAAACCGAGCUAAGAUGUUUUAAGAGAUUUUAUGGCUUCAUUGCUUUCUACUGGUUUUGUACUACUUCUAUACAGCAUGUUGAUGCACUUUUCGUGAUUUCUUACCAUUAAAACUUUAGUUAUGAUUAUUACUCACUGAGUUGGAGUACUCAUUUUAUUUCCUGCACCUUGUGUGCAGAUUUAGGUAUUUCAGUACCCGGUAGCGGGUAUUGGCUGAACUGAGGCAGAGUCAUUGGAAUUUUAGCGAGGUAAUUGUCCGAUAUCCGCUGCACAGCUUUACUCCCUCUUGAUGUCAUUAGACUAUUCUAGUAUAUUUUCCAGAAUUUCAUUGUAUCAUAGACCACAGUAGAUGCUCAUGACUAGUAACAUCUCGGUAUCGGGCUGUGUUGGAUUGUAUUCCGCAAUUUUUUUAGUAUUGUCACUGUUCACUACUGAGUUUAUAUCAUGUUUUAGAUGUAAUGCAUACUAUUUAAUUGCUUAAAACUGGAUUGAAAAUGUGUCGGCUGGCCUUGUCUUCACGAGAGAUGCCAUCACGAUCGUGUUCGAGUUUGGAAUCGUGACACUUCGGGAAGAGAUACAGUUGGGGAUAGUGAAGAUGGAGAAACCAGUGGAGUCUAUUUAGAGGUAAAAUUAGGUCAUUGGGUCAGAGAAAAGGGAUGUGGUUUAGUACAAGAAGUGGGUCGGGUUUUUUGUUUGGACUGGCCAAAUAUUUCAGUUCUUGCAAGAAGGCCAAGCCGAUGGCUUCACUCAAGUUUGUUGGACGAAAGGAGAGCACAUCAGCCUUAAUCCCUGGCUGGAGCCUAGAGGUAAAAUAAUGUUUUAACAUAGGCGGUGAUAUCUCUUUUGUAUACUGAGCAAGCUUUUCAAAAUGGGGAGAGAUAAUCAUGAAUAGAAGAAGUCUUUUUGCGAUUAAACUCUCCGGUGACUCCAUUUAUUUCGUCCCAAAACGAGUCACAAAAGCUCUCAUUAAGUGAGCGCAACCGCAUAACUGAUGAUUUUGAUACAUCCAUAGAUACCAAUCUCCGGUGUCACCUUCAAUGAAGAAGAAAAAUUGAUUGAUACAUUCUUCAUCAAAAAUAUUGUAGUGGUCAAAAUAUUGAUGGGCUUGAAAGAUCCAACUCUCUGCUGCGUUACCGUCAAACUUCGACAAAUCAAUCGCUCUAUCUCUGCGUAAGUGAUUAAAUGUUUGUUGUUGCUGUGAUUGAGCGACGUUAAGAGAUGUAGUUUACGUGGUUCGUUAGUUAUAUCCAGUUUGUUAUUGCAGCAUUGGUGACUGACCCAACACAGAGGAAGAAGGGCUAGCAGUGAUCGGUGUUGGCGUCGGAGAAGGAGCUCUCUAAGAAGCAAUGUGCACAACAAUCUCCUGAAGGGUUCUGUUGAUGGAGUCCAAAACUUUAGUGUGAAUAACUGAUUGUUCUUAGAGCUCUUUCACAGCUUCCUCCAAGUAUUUCGACCAAGUUUUAUGUGCACCAUCACCCAUUUGUAUAACGAGGAACCAAAUGUAAAGAUGAUAGUUUUGAUAUUCAAUUGAUCUCUUAGCCAGUUAUACAUGGUGUCAUUUAUAUUCUGGCCCUAGGGAUAGUCGUGGUGGGUACAAGUUUGUUCUCAUAUUGCCUUAAAGUAAACACAAUUGAAGAAUACAUGUUCAAUGUCUUCUUUUUCGAUACCACAAAUGGUGCAAGUCCCAUUAGGGAAAAUUUUCCUUCUAGAGAGCAUGUGCCUUGUAGGAAGUUUUUUUAGAACGACUGUCCAUAUUUUAACUUAUUGAGAGUCUUAGUUCUCUAGAUCCAGUCAUGGUUAAGGCCUUCAUAAUUCUCCUGUCCAUAGAUGAGCUCAUAAGCAGCUUCGGUUGAAAAUCUAUUAUAAUUCAUUGAGUUCCAACUAAAUGUAUCGUUAUUAUGGGAGAUUUGCUUAACGUAGGUACUAGGAAUCCUGGUGAUCAUUUUCCAGCGAGGAUAAGGGACAUGUUACUAAGGUUAAAGGUCUCAUUUUCCAAGAUGGAUUUCAUGCUUUGGUCCAUUUCCUGUCGUGUGAGGGGCCCUGGACACGAUCUCUGAUGGGUCCUAAUUGAUUAACCCAAUUAUCAAGCCAUAGGUUUAUCAAUUUUCCAUCUCCUAUCAGCCAACUGGUGGUUGGCUUACAGAUGAUAGAUCCUUUCUUGGUAUCUUUUUAAAUAAGGGAGCCUAAGUUUUUAUUGGUAAUAUUAAUGUGUAGGGGAUUUUUGUUAUCAUAAUUUUUGUGUAGGAUAUUUGCCCAUAGAAAGCCCUUUUCUUUUCGAUAUCUCCAAAGCCAAGGCUGCUUGAAAACAGCUUUGUUUUUCAAAAUGCCUUGUGGAGGCCAAUGUCAUCCUGGUCACGUCACGUAUGAUCAUUCAAACUUAGUUGCAUCUCAAAAGACCAAAACUAGAAACAAAACAUAAAAUUUACAUCGGAUUCAAGUCGAAGUUCUUCUAAAAUUUUCGAAACACGUUUUUGAUUAAAAACCCAACUAAAUCACCUCUGAAUAACCUGAAAUUUUGCACAUCCCAAAUCACCUAACAAAGCUACAAAAAUUCUCGAAAUUCCAUUAUGACCCUCGGAUAAAAAUCUGACUGAUCAACCAGAAUUUGCCAAAAUACUAAUUUCGCCAAUUCAAGCCAAACUCUACAUUGGACCUCUAAAAUCACUUCUGAUCACACUCAUAAAUCACAAACCAUCCCCCGAAACUAACCGAAUCGUCGGAAUCCACAUCCGAGCCCUCUAACUCAUAAGUCAACAUCCGGUUAACUUUUCAAAAACAAGCCUUUCUUAAAAAACUAAGUUCUCAUUUCCUUCCAAAAAUCAAACAAAUUCAACUCGUUCACACAAGACACUGAUAAGAAGCAUAACAAAGCAGGAAAUGGGGAUAUAGAGCGGUUCUCAUGAGACGGUGGGUCAGAUCGUCACAUCCUCCACAACUUAAACAAACGCUCGUCCUCAAGCGUACCCAGAGUUGUCCUAGAAGCCAACCAACAGCUGAAUGACCUUACCAAGCAUAUACCCGGGGGUGAUCCCACGCCACCCAAUCUCGCAUAGGUCUAAUAACACAACAUAGCUGAAAUUUCACAAUCCAUCUAGUCCAUAAACCAUAGAACCACAUUGCACUUUCCGAAAUCAUACACAAGAUCAGAACCUCACAUCUAUUCUCAGAAUAAACCCAAACCAGCUGUAGUAAUCUAUACCUGCAACCUCAGGUGCAAUCAUAUGAUAUACUACAUAACCCAAACACUCAAAACGAUAACUUGUAUUCACAACAGUUGCUUACAAUACCCGAAUACCGGUAUAAAACCUCUUAUCAGCUAAGGUCAUAUCCAAACACUUUCAUAUAUUGCCAAUGAUAAAUGAAACACGCAAUUAACCCUAACCAUUUCUCAGAUCAACCGUUCAUGAAGCCACUUCCCUUUUGACUAAUACCACAAUAGAUUCCGAGCCGAACCUCAAUAUCAUCCUUCCAACAAGCUGAAAUCAAAUAUGUUCAUAUUCAUUAGUGACCCCAAAAAUCACCUCGAAUCCAACACACCACUCUGGUGAUAUGACACCUCAAUAAAGGCCUAAGCCACAACUUGCAUAAUACGCGGACCAAUAAGAAACAGUCUGAACAUACUCAAAUUAAAAAUUCACUCAAACGAAAGAGUUGUACCUCAAGCUCAUCAGUACCAUCAUAACACAAGGCUGAGAUCCCGUCUCACAUCAUAGAAAUAGAACACCUGAAUCUACCCCGAAAGGUCAUAUCUCCACGUGGCCUUUGCUACAAUAUGCUAUCCUAUCCAAACAUUGUUACACAUGAAACACUAAAGUCGCUAUGCUCAAAAUCCAUGGCCACGUACCAUUUGAUGUCUGGAACCAAAGCAAUUCAUUACACCCAUGAUGAAACAAAUAACAUACGCUACGCAACCCGAUAGGUCAUAACCAAUACACUAUUUACCGAGCAACACCCAAUUACUGUUCCCGCUCGACUUUCACUAUGAAUCCUCAAUAGAACCGCACCACAUGUGCCCAUAACAACCAAAUCAUAACGUCUCACAACGGCGAAAAGAAACUCAUAGCUCUCCUCAGAUCACUAACAAGCUCAAAAUUGAUCGAAUCAACCUAUCCCUCAACAAUAUAAUUCCGGACCAACCAAGCCAACUCAUGCUAAACACAUAUCCACAUCGGCCUACCAACGACCUCAUUACCAAGAAAGCCUGAAGUUGUUCCUUUUACUACUAUAACUCCUACCGGAGCCGUACGAUACGGUGCCCAGCACCAAAUCAAUAUCAAAAUCCACAACCUCGACCGACACAUCCCCGGCCACAAGAAACGCAUCCGAAAAGUCCCUUAACAGCGAAACAGAAUCAAUGGUAGUAACCUCUGCACUGACAUCCAUCAUGAAGGCCCAAUUACGAAAAGCAAUCCUUCAAAGUUGUCCGCUAAGAAAGUUCAUAUCUCCACGAUAGAUACUUUAAAAUUUCAUGUUCCACCAAGCAAACCCGAAUACCACCAGUUGAUCUGACAAGAAAAUGCUGCAAUGCUACCGAAGUACCAUCAGUUUAAUCACAUUACCCUUUUUCUGAGAUAUAUACUCUCGUCAAAUCACUUCUAAUUAGCAGCACCAUUUCCUUGAUUAUCUGAGGCUAAUUAUUUCCUAAGAGUUUUAUGAACUUCUUUUCAAAUCUGAACUAAAACCUCGUACAUGCAAAUCUCGAUCCUCCAUAACAUACCACAUAUACGAUACCAACUCGGUCUACUAUCAAGCUAUUCCAUCUAUCUAAUUUUCCUUCUGAAUCAUCAUCAGCUUGAUAUUCCCCCCUUGUUGUAGCACCAUAGUUCCUCAACCCAGGAUCACUGCAGAAGACCCAAGCACAAGACCACACUGUCUAAGACCCAUAAGCCACUGAAUCCUCUCUCAAAUAUUUCCAGAAACACCACAUUCCAAAAUACUUUACUCUGAAGAACUUUCUAUGAAUCUAAAUCUGUUACCUUUACUUUCCAAAAUACUGAUACAUAGAAUCUCAUAAUUAACAUAAAAUACUACAAGUCUUGACCUUUUCCAAUGAAAACAGAGUCUCUAACCACAUACAUAACCUUAAGGCAUCUCAUUGUUACAUGUAGAAUCAUGAACAUAUUAAAACCAUUCUUGAGAGUCAUUAACUUCUUAUUCAAAUUGCAAUUCACCAGAUUAAACGAAUAUAACCACCUAUACCUCAUUAGCACUCCGACACUGCAGGAUAGGACCUCAUCUCAAUACAAACAAAAAUCUUCUUGCUCCAUGCACGGAGCAUUCUUUACCAAUAACAGCUUAAGACAUCCUAUGAUUCUCAUACAUAUACGAAGCACCAUAUAACCUUUGUCAAAAAAUUUCUUCACUCGUUCCAUCCCCGGCUCAAUUUCUGCAACCAGAACUGAUUCCCUAGCAUGCCUCAAACCGGAACCAACAUAGCACAUAACCAUACACUUAGUUAAUCAAUAGCAAACUCCCUAUCUUGGCUCGAAGCCAUAGAUCAAAACACUCCCAACAACAUAUAACGCACAUACUCCAUUGAUGCCUUAAUACCAUAGUGAGAUUCUCAAUCCUUCAUAAGCAUGUGGAAACACAAAUCAUCUAGAAUUUUUUUUCUUUUUUUUAACUCUUCUGCAAAUCUCGCAUUCACUCACACAAUAGUUAAGCUCUCUCUCUAGGCGAUCUAAUUUAGAUGUCAACACAUUUUCUUCACUUGUAAAUGAGAUCUUCUAACAAAUAACAUAAGAAUCACACAACUUUAUAACACUCUACAGGAGAUGACCCACCUGUUUUGCCUCCAAUUACAAUUUCUGUAUACCUUCCACCGUCCUAAACUGUACGCAGUCGCUAAGUCUUUCUGAGUCUAAAGUCAUACAACAACAUAAUAUUUUUACUUCACUCUUAACUGGAAACAUGAAAUAAUACUUCACACACCCAUAACUAGGGGCUAUACCUUGAAUUACAGCAGAAUUCAAACACAUAGUAGUUCUUCUAUCAUCCAAUAGACCCUCCUCAUCACUUCCAAGUCACGUAGAUACAUCCUGCAGCACUAACAUACUCAUGACAUAGUUAACCAGUUGUCACUCCCACUAAUAGGGGCAAUACCAAACAUAUAAGCUCGAAACACUUGCUCACACAAUCAGCACCCGGUGCUCCAGCCAUAGGCAAAGAUUUGGCCUCAAGUCCUCCAGACUGGCUUAACAUCAAACUCACAGAGAUCACAUCUCGUCCCUCGAUCGGGUAACCACAAGCCGUCAAGGCACAUCUAAUACUGAGCGCUCAUGCGCGUGUAUGAACACGUGGAAAGAAUUUCAAGAGUUUCUUUUCAAGCUGAAUCAAGGAUGCACGAUAAGAAUUCAAGAAUGUAAAGUUUUAUUAAAGGUUCUGUAACUUCUCAAGGAUAAAUACAGAUGUCUCUGUGCCAAUCCACGAGACUCUACUGAACCAUCUCAUGACUCGCGAGACCAGGAAACCUAGUCGACAUCACAAAAAUAUCAUGACCCCAACCCCAGUCAUGAUGGCGCCUAACACACUAAUAGGCAAGCCCGACCAAUUUAACAACCUUAACCUUUUUAUGUAGUACAUGAUUCAAUUAACACAAAGAAUUAAAAAUUCAUAAUAUUGAAACUUUGAAGUAUAGUUAAAACAUGCGGAAAACCCAAGAAGAAAUACUACUAUAACACUGCCCGAAGAAUCCGGUGUCACAAGCCUGAGCCUCUAAUACACGGGUGUCAUCCUACUACAUAUUGCUCUAAAGUAAUGAGGAAAUAAAGGAAAUAGGUUAGAUGGAAAGAUUAGGACUACGGACAUCAUGCAACUACCUUGGUGUUCCCAGAUAUGAUGCUCGGCAGAGAAAUCCUCACUCAGCCUCAGUGGUUGCACCUAGAUCUGCACAACAAGUGCAGGAGUAAUGUGAGUACUUCCAACCCAAAGAGUAAUAAACAUAAAUAAGGGUUGAGAGUAAGAAAUCCUAGAUAUGCAUAAUGUAAGCUAUAAUUACAUAAGUUUAAUCCAGAUAAUAUCAACUCAAUAAACCAAUGAAAACAAUGAUGCUACAACAGAUAAGUAAAUGAAUGACGAUCAAUUAAGAAAUGCAACAAAUAUUACUGUACUUUCUAGUACUUGCUGCGGCAUGCAGCCCGCUCCAUUUAUUUAUCGUCGACGGCACUCACAGGUUGUGCAAACUCCGGUAGGGGCUCCUUAGGACCCAAGCGCAAUAUCAAGAAUUCUCGUAGCAUCCGUUAGGCCCUAAGCCUCAUAUCAAUAUGAAUAUAAUACUACUGCGGCAUGCAACCCGAUCCCAGACUCAGUCAAGAAUCAUGUAAGCCCCUCGGGCACAAUAAUAUAUAAAUGUUCAAUCCAAACUUCAAUAUAAAUAUUAUUUAAGUUCCAUGUUUGAGAAAAAGUGGCUGAUUUUAUCAAAUACUAGGACUGAGUUCAAUGAUAUGUAAAAAUGGUAAUAAACCAGUAAGAGUAAUCCUGGAAGGAUUCAAUCAGUUGGCACGAGGCCUAAUUACGACAAUUAAUCUAUUUGUAUAAGGAUAUCAACUAAGCUUCAAUCAAUUAGGUAGUAAUUUUAUUAAGCGGGACAGACCAAGUCACAAUCCCCGACGGUGCUCUACCCCAUGCUUGUUAUCCGGCAUGCAAGUCACCUCAACAUAGCACUAUGAUGUGUAAAUUCGGAGUCUCAAACCCUCAACACAACAUUUACAUCUAUUAUUAACCUCAAGCAGGCAAAAAUCUUAGCUCGAUAUGCCCUUGCCUCUCAAAUCGACCUCCUCGCGCGUCGAAUCUGAACAAAACCAUAAUGAUACGUCACAUUAUGCUACAAGAUCAAUACCCAAUCAAAAAUAAUUGAAAAAUAUCAAUAGUCCCGAAAUUGACAAAACCCGAGCCCCGGAUUCACUUCUUUAAGCUCAUAAAUUUUUACAGAAAAUUGUUCUUCAUCUUCUUCCGAUUCCGUACAUAUAAAGAACAUCAAAAUUGGAGUCCAUUUGACCUAUCAAAUUGACCCAUAAAGGUCUCAUAAUCUCAGGCCCCAAAUCCUAUUUUUCUACUAUUUUUCAUGAAUUAAAGGCUGGGAUUAUAAUUUAUAAUUACCUAUAAACGAGUUUUAAUAAACAGAUGAGUUACCUUUGUGAUACCCACUGAUUUUCUCUCUUAAAAAUCACCUCAUAAGCUUUUUCCAUUCAAAAAUUGGAAGAAAACUCGACCUGCUCAUUAUAGGUAUACUCUUCACGCGUUUUACUGCUCCCAAUGGAUUCCUUGUGAAAUUAGAUGAAUGUAGGCUAUUGAAUCACUCAAUUUGUCCUUAUAAUAAAGAGAUAUGUAGGUUUUAAGCUUUGCAAAUAGUAAAGGUUUUUAAUACGCCUUCAGGGGCAAUUUCAUCAUUAACCUAAAAAUCUGGGCACCCUUGGCAAAAUGGCCAUAUCAACCGGAAUUCUCCAAAAUACUAGCUUCGCCAAUUCAAGCCAAAUUCUACACUGGACCUCCAAAAUCACUCCCGAUCUCACUCCUAAGUCACAAAUCAUCCCUCAAAGCUAACCAAAUCAUCGGAAUCCACAUCUGAGCCCUCUAACUCAUAGGUCAACAUCCGGUUGACAUUUUCAAAACAAACCUUCCUUAAGGAGACUAAGUGUCUCAUUUCUUUCCAAAAAUCAACCCAAUUCAACUCGUUUACACAAGACAUUGAUAAUGAAGCAUAACGAAGUAGGAAAUAGGGAAACAAAAUGCUUCUCAUGAGACGACGGGUCGGCUCAUCACAAAAAGAAGCCAACUAUAGUAAAGGGUAUAAAUUGAGAAGAAUGCCCAGCCCAGGGUCCAAACGCAGGUAGUAGAGUACUUAUAGAACAACAGCAAACUUAGCAAGACGAGGACUUUGCAUAAAUUGACUAAGCUUGAGCUCAACAAAGUAGAGAUCGGGCAUUGUGUGGGUCAAAUAAUUUAACUUCCCAACAAGAUGACGGUAGAUUGUGGGAUUUAGAAGAAGAGGCCAUUCAUCGGCAUGCAAUUUGGAGGAUGGCUCAAGAGGAGAAGAAGCACAAGGCAGAUUGGAGAUAUCAAAUUCCUACAAUAAAUUCAAGGUAAACUUCCUUUCACAGAUUAUCAUUCCUUGCUUUUCUCACAUAAUCUCCACGCCAAAAAAUACUGCAAACUGCCUAAAUCUUUGACCUUGAAUUUAGAAUGAAGAAAUGACUUUAGAGAGGCAAUUUCCAUUGUAUCAUUGCCACUAAUAUUGAUAUCAUCCACAUAGACUGCGAUAAUUAAAAUAAAAUCUCCCUGCUUCUGAAAAAAUAGAAGAUAAUCGUUCAGAGAAUAACAAUACCCCUUAAAACUUAGUGCCCCAGCUAGCCUAGCAUACCACUGUCUUGAGGCCUGCUCUAAACUAUAAAGAGAUUUUAUGAGAAGACAAACAUGAUUAGGUGAAUGAGGUAUUAGACUAGCUGAGAAUAUUAUAUAAACUUCCUUUGGGAGGUCCCCAUGUAAAAGGCAUGCUGACAUCUAAUUGAUAAAUAGGCCAGUCCCUUUUAGUAGCUACUACAAUUAAAUACCUAAUGGUAGUCAUUUUGACUACCGAAAAAGAUGUCUUAGGGUAGUCGAUGAAUUCUCUUUGAAUAUCUCUCCUGACAACCAGUCUAGCUUCCAAUAUUUCUAUACUUCAAUUAGAUUUGUGCUUUACUUUAUAUACCCACUUACAGGGUAAAGCUUUCUUUUCAACUUGUAGUGGAACUACAUCCUAGGUGUUAUUAGUUUCCAAUGCCUCAAUCUCUGAAUACAUAACCUUACUUCAUCUUGGAUGUGAAGAUGCCUGUGAAAAAAUGCUAGGUUAUGAAAUUCUGAAAUUGAUUGUAGAAUAUGUUGAUUAUCAGUAGAUAGUGCUCCAAAGGAAAAGAUAGCAUGCUUACUAGGCUGGGCAAAAUAAGCAGAAGUAACUUCACUAAGAUAUAUAUUAUUACAUACAUAAUCUUUAAGAUAACUAGGCUGGGAAAUGACUCUGGUUGAUUUUCUGAGUGAUGAAUUUAAACUACUAGGGAUAGUAGGAGAUGGUAGAAAAUGUGAUAAAUGGAGUGUGGAAGGUGAGUAAGUGAUGUGCAAUGAAGGUGAUUGAGUAGGAUUAGAUGGUGCAGAAGGUGAUGAUAUAGGAAAGGAGCUGUCUGAAGGUGAAGUAAUGGAAAAAAUGGAAUCAAGAAUGGUGUUGGUUGUAGCAAAGGGAUAUCUAACUUCAUAGAAAUGCAUAUCUUUGGAUACAAUGACCUUUCUUUUAUCAAAUUCUAGCAUUUUGUACCUUUUCUUCCCUAAGGGAUAUCCUAGAAAUGCACAUGCCUUUGCUUUAGGAUCAAAUUUAAUUCUUCCAUUGGACAAGGUAGAAACAUACAAAAGACACCCUAAGUUUCUGAGAAAUUUGUAGGAAAGUGAUUGAUAGAACAAAAUAGAAUAAAGUAUUUUUUCGUGAAGAACCUUAGAGGAUAUCUUAUUGAUUAAAUAAGUAGAAUUUAAUAAGCUAUUUCCAAAAUAUGUCUGUGUUUCCUUUCAACAAGUAUAUUCUGUUGAGGAGUUGGUGCACAAUAAGUUUGAUGGAGUAUCCAUUGAGAACUAAGGAAAACUGCCUCUGGGGAUCCUUUUUCAAGCUCAAAAGCAAUAUCUAUUCUCAAUUUUUGAACCUUAAUCCAAAACUGCCUUUCAACCACAGUGAAAAAGUUCUUCAAAACUAGGAAUGCAUUGCUCUUGGUACUUAAGAGAAAUGUCCAAGUAUCCUGCCGUAAUCAUCUACCACGGCGGAAAAAUAUUUGAAACCAUUAUAAGUAGGCAACUUACAGAACCCCUGAACAUCAGCAUGAAUUAAUUCAAAUGCUCUUUUAGAUUUGAUUUGACUCAGAAAAAGGCAAUCUAGUUUGCUUAGCUUUAGGACAGACAUCACAAAAACAUUCUAAAUAAGGAGAAAAAGAGAUAAACCUAAAUUGUGUCAUUUAUAAAAAGGGAAAAUAACCUAAUAUGUUGUGGCAGAGUGUUACAUUGGAAAUUGCACUUGCAUAAAAAGAAAAAAACUGAAAUAGAAUCAACAUCAUUUUAUUCAGAAAUUGAAACUAUAUUGUUUUGUGAACUAUUCCUAAUAGUAUUAGGCUCCAGCAGAUAUAGUCCUCCUUUUGCUUCACCAAAAACUUGAGGCCUCUUUAUUAAAGGGUCCAGUAAGAGAUGCUGAUUAGAGGUAAGUGUAAUUAUAGAGUGAAACUAUAUACAAAACCUAUUGACUGAUAAAAGAUUGAAUCUAAAACUAGGCACAUGUAGAAUAUUGUUUUAAACAAAAUUAGGGAAAAUAGAAACUCUUCUUAUAUGAGUGACAAUUAGUUUAAAGGAAUUGGGAAAGUUGAUAUGUAUAGGAACAAGAAGAGGAGAUAGACAUAAAAAAGCAUUUGAAUCAAAACACAUAUGUUAUGAUGUCACUGAGUCAAUGAUCCAAGUAGUUGAGUUAAAUACUGAAAAACAAGAUCAAGUAUAUUUGAUAAUUGUACCAGCUACAAUACUAGCAUUGAUCUUUGAGCAUGUGCUUACUGUUUCGGUGGUCUUAACCUGUUUGACCAACUAAACCAAAUGUGAGAAUUGCUCCUUAGAGAGAUGUUGGUUGAGACCUUCAUUAUAUCCAUUGUUUGCAUCAUCUACCUGGUCUCCUGUGAAAACCCCAUUGCUUCUAGCUUGAAACUGAUUUUUUUUUACCAUUAGUGAACUCAAAAUUAUCAGGAAAGCCUAUGAUUUUGUAAUAGUCAUUGACAGAGUUUCCCACCUUUUUCCAGUAAGUGCAUGAAGCAUUAGGAUUGAACUUGUUCUUCUUUCCUCUGAAAUCAAUAUUCCUUUGUGUCGAAUUUGUUCCCUUUUGGAUGUUGUUGGGUUUUUCAAGAUGUCCAAAGUUCCUUGGUCCUUGCUUGUUUUUGUUUCUCUGCUGAUAAGUAUUCUUACUAGUUUAGUUUGCUUGAUUUCCUACCGUGGAGGACGAGCUUUGAGAUGAUAUGCUAGGAUAAAUAUAGAUUUUCCUCUGAUUCUCUUCUUGCAACACAAAGGAAUAAGCAUUAUUGAUAUUGGGCAGCGGGUUCACCAAUAUGAUGUUUCCCCUUAUCUGUCCAUAGGUAUCAUUAAACCCCAUGAGGAAUUGGAUGAGCCUUUCAUCCUCCAUUGAUUUUUUUAUUUUUUUUUUGCCCUCACACACACAAGUACACAAACAUUUAACAUCAUAAUUGAGUCUAACUCAUCCCACAAACGUUUGAGUUUUAUAAAAUAACUUUCUAUAUCACAAGUACCUUCAACUAAUUUCUAAUAGUUCCUUAUGCAGGUGGUAAAGCUUAGCACCAUUUGAUUGACCAAACAUAUGUUUAAGACUGAUCUAAAGAUCCUUGGCAAAUUUGGAGUAAAUCACGCUAUCCCUAAUUUCCUUGGAUAGUGAGCUUAACAGCCAUGAGGUAACCAUAUCAUUACAUCUACUCCAUGACUGAAAAUCUUUGGAGGUGAUAACAUGAGAAGGACAAGAUCCAUUAAUGAAUCCUAACUUGUUCUUUGCUGAAAGAGCUAUGAUGACAGAUCUCUUCCAUCCUUUAAAACCCCUCCCGUUGAAGGCAGUGUUGACAAGGGUCAUGCUUGUGCAUCAUAAGAGUGAAGAAAAUAUGGGUGAUUUGGGUCGAAGGUGGCUGUAUUUUCAACUACAAUCUGAAUGACAGGUGCAUCUGGAGUCUCUGUAAAAGACAUGAUGAAGAGACAGAGCCAUAAAAGAUUUAGAUGAUUUUGUAGUGAAUUGAGCUUCAAUGCUCUGAUACCAUAAAGGAUUGUAAAAUCAGAAAAUGAUGUAGGGAAUUUUCUCCGUGUAUUUUUGUCAUUCAGUUGAAGCUGUACAUAUACAAUAUUCUGUGUAAAAAUAAAAAAUAAAAUUUGAGAUUCAUAUACAUUAGUCUAGUUGCUAUUGGCUAUCUAAUAACUAACUAUUAUUCUUUACAGGUGUGUGACAUGCCUCACACAUGUGAACUUAUUCUAGAAUCCAAAGUGUUAUAUACAACUGCAUUUCUUCAUUAGUAUGGAGGACUAGGAUUUAAUUGAUCAAUCAUGAUCAACGGUUGAGAUGAGUCCAAUGCUUGAGUCAUUUUGUGUAGAUAUAUUGUCUUGAUUCCUCGAUAAUUCUGAAGUCUUUGUUCUUUCGGAAACCCUAGAGACUUUCCUUUUCUUCUUCUUCAUUGUGAACUUCUUCUUCUUCUUCAUUGUGAGCUUUAUCAAUUAGCUGGCUCAAGUUAUAGGGCUUCUUCUCUUCAUCAUAAGAUAUAAAGUCCAACAUCAUCUUUACGAUUCCGUCGAAAGAAAAACAUCCAUGGUUAUUAAUAAUUCGUUGUUGCUCGACGAAUUCGCCAUAUCAAUUUCCUCUUCAUCUUCGUCUUCUUUCUCCCAAUGGCUAGAUCAAAAAUAAACUAUUCAUUUUGUUGAAAUGAAAGAAGAAGAGAAUUUGAGAGAUAUGAUUCCACUAAGAAAUAAACUUGUUUCCUAAGGAACUCAAGAAUAUGAUUGGUAAUGGAAUUGUUAUGUCUAAGAGCUUUGUUUUCCCAUAAAGUGGUUCUAACAUUUCAAAUCGUGUCAUGCAAUAUAUCCUGCUUUCUUUAAUAAUAUUAUUUGAAAUAGCACAAAAUUGGAUGCAAUUGAUUCUGGCUUUAGCAUUAUCAAAUAGGGAUAAAAGUUGACUCACACUCGAUUGGUAUUUGGUAAUGACUUCUUAGCAAUUGUCGAAUGCAGUCUUUCCAUUGAUUUGAUUUAUUCAUUAUUUUAUUUCUGAAAGGACAUCAAGCAAGUAGUGUUGACUAAUCCUCGAUGGAAGAAAUCUAAGUAACAAAUUAAAAUAAUGAACUAACCUAUAAUUAGCAGUUAACAUAUAUUCCAGUAUAACCUUUCCCUUUGAGUUAGGGAUUUCGAAUUUUAAAUAUUUCAAAGUCAAUUCUCAAUAUCAUAAUAAAUAAAUCAAGGGUAGGGUCUUUAUAAAUUAAAUAACAAAGAAAGAAAGAAAAGAGUAGUAAGAGAGAACAAAAUUCCCACGUUAUAGUGACUUCUGUGCUUUGCAUAAAUGGCUCAUGUACGCUAUAUAAUUGUGUAAAUUACCACAGAGAUUCAUCUUUAUAUAAAAUUUAAAUCCUACUGGGUUUUCCCAUAAAAGAGAAGGAAUUUUUUUUAUUAUAACCCUUUUUUUAAAGUAAAGUCGGUGACUAAGGUUCAUAAAAAUUUUAGUAAGCUUUCAAGCGUAAGAGUUAACAAAGCCAAAUUUAAAUUAAUAGUGUCCAAUAACUGUUGCAACGACACAAGGCUCUUUUAACAAUUACUCUGGGAAUAACAUCAAGUACUAGCUUUGGGAACUACUUAGGCUUUCCCAUGCUAAAUGUCAUCCCAAAGCAUACAGACUACCUUCCUCUUCUUGAUAAAAUGAGACCUAAACUCAACAACUAGAAUGCUAAAUGGAUUAGUAUGGCUGGUAGAUGUACUCUCAUAAAGUCUACCCUUAACACUCUUCCCAAUCACCUAAUGCAAACAUCCAUUCUUCCCAAAUGACUUUUUUAACAAAUACAUUGGGAAUAACAUCAAGUACUAGCUUUGGGAACUACUUAGGCUUUCCCAUGCUAAAUGCCAUCCCAAGGCAUACAGACUACCUUCCUCUCCUUGAUAAAAUGAGAGCUAAACUCAACAACUAGAAUGCUAAAUGGAUUAGUAUGGCUGGUAGAUGUACUCUCAUAAAGUCUACCCUUAACACUCUUCCCAAUCACCUAAUGCAAAUAUCCAUUCUUCCCAAAAAAAAUUUAAAGGAAAUCGAAAAAAUCCAAAGGAAUUUCUUAUGGGGUACCACCCAGGACCAAAAGAAACUACACCUUAUUAACUGGGACAUUGUCACUAAGGAAGUUUCCAAAGGGGAGUUAGGUAUAAGAAAAGCCUACCAAAAA